GGCAGUAGAUAAGGUAGAACACAGAAACCCUGUGAGCACAACAGUAGAUAAGGCAGAAGCAAAGACAAAGGGCAAGGCCACAACAACAACAACGACAAUGACCACAUCAACGGAAAGCAAAGCAAACAAAGACAACAUCAACGGCGGCAACAUCGACCACAACAGAAACACACCAGCAAAGGCAUGAGCAACAAUACUGACACCAUAACAUGCAUGAGCAACAAUACUGGUACCGAACAACAGCAAUACAAGGCACUGGCACCAGCAAGAGUAUUAAGGCAGGGACAUAACAGACAUCAUCAAUAGUAAUCAACAUUGCCCCCAACAAGAGUUAUAAUAGGCAGGAGCAAUAAUACUGUCCCCAACAAAAGACAUAAUAGGGAUAAGCAACGGUACUGGCACUAGCAAAGGACAUAAUAGUCAGCAGCAAUAACAAUGGCAAAUACUUCCAUUAUCGCACAAACAACUUAUCUUCAUUCCCCCUCUCCCCUUGAAGAGAACGAGUCAUCAGAACCAUAAGAGAAGUGGCACUUAAGAAACAGAAGCUGAUUGACGCUCAAAUGUAGAACAAUCAGUCAUGGCAGAUAGGUAGCUAAAUUGCAGUGGAAUAGAUAAGCAGCGAUGUCACUCCCCCUCAAAUCCGACGAUGUAUGAGAGUCGAGAUUUGGAGAAAGCAACACCGAAAAAUAAAGUUGCAUCUAUUUCCCCAUCAAAUCUGACACUGGUAAAGGGUCGAGAUUUGGAAGAAGAUAAAUUGAAAUAAUAGUAAAGAGACUCAAACAUGCCAGUCUCGUGGCAGAAACAAAUGCAAGAGGGGAAGGUGGUAGCAUACGGCUGUCCCAUGUAGAAAAAACUUUAGAAAAAGAGAAUAGUAAGGGAGGAAACCCAACAAAUCAUGAACAGAGACAAAGACAAAGAUAAGGUGCUCAAACAGGAAUUAGAGCAAAGGGCACCGAAAAAAGGAAACCUUUCAUGUGUGGAAUAGGAAUAGAUAGAGUGCCCAUCAAAAGGAAGCAAUAUUAUAUAAGGGAGUUGUGAAAGCGAGAGAUAAUGCAGCGAGAAAACAACAAAAUGGAAAAGGUUGGUAAAAGAAAGAUGAGAAAUAGAGAGGACCUGAAAAGAGUUUGGUUGCAUAGCAGGGGAAACCACAUCCAUAGAUCAAAGAGGAAGAAACUAAAGAUAUUUAAAAAGUAAAGCAUGGGAAAUUGCAUGUGACAAUUUUUAAAAAGAAACUAGUGGAAGAAAGUGAGGUGCUAGAACCGAAAAAAGGAUAGAAUAAUGCUGUGAUUGAAGGAAAAUAAUGACAAAGGAAGGUAUCUGUGAGGAAAUAGACAGACAGAGAAAGGGAUGAAUAUUGGAAAGAGGCCAAAGGUAGAAAGAAAUAAGCAUAAGGGUAAAAAGGAAGGAGAUAGAAAAAUAAAUAAUAAAUACCCAACGGGAAAGGCUAGAGUGACAAAGCUAGAGAGAUGGCAUGGGGAAAGAACACAACAAACACCAGCCAUUGGGCAUAGACAAACAAAAGAGAUAAACAUAAAUAAAAGAGAGCUAAAUAGAGCAAAGAGAGAAACAAAGAAAGGGUGCUCAAAACUGAGAAGCGGAAAGGCAACUCAAGAGAACAGCCGAAGAAGGCAGAGAUCGGCAGAACAGUCAAAGGAAAGGCUCGGUCAUGAGUGGUGACAAGGCUCGCGGAGGAAAGCAACGGCACGGUAAACGGUGACAAGGCUCACGGAGUAAAAAGACCUGUUAUGAAGUUUCAAAGAUAAAGAAGCUGGGACAUCAAGAAAGACCAUCUGGCAUACAAAGAUUAAAAAUAAAAAAAUUUGGAACAAUAGCAAAAAAGCAUGUGAAGGCUAGGUGUGGUGAAAACACAUAUGAGAGGAUUGAUCAAAAGAAGAUGACUAUACAAGAUGAAGACCCAUGAUGGGUUAGGAAUGAGGAGUGUCAACGACUCUCAAUUUGACAGAGGUUAUCACAUGUUAGAAACUAGGCUCUGAUACCAUGUCAAACAAAGUAUGGUAAAUAUUCAAUUAUGCUCAGAUAUGCUCAUAUUUUUAUUCUUCUCCAAUAUGGAGGUAUUUAUACAAGUACAAAGCUGUGUUAACCCUAAAUAAAAUAGGAAAUAUAUCUAAAUUACAAUAGGAAGUAAAUCUCUAUUACAAUAGGACUAAAUAAUAAUUGGUAAGUAACCAAAAUUCUAAUAAAAUAAGGAACCAAAAUCCUAACUAAAUAAGGACUUGCCAACAGCACGACCUUGAUGCACUAUGAGAAUCGAGGCGCUGGCCACAAUGUUGGACGAUGCCAAUGCAUCUCCCAAGGGUCCGAGCUCCGGGCAGUCACCCCACUCGGAUAGCCCGAACGUGAGUGGUGAGGAACCUGUUUGCCCUCUUCCCACGAUAUAAAGAUCAUAGUCAUUUCCCAUGGCGCUUAUCAAUUUGAGAGUUUCUUCUCCAUUGUUCAACACCUCGUGAAUUAAUUUUAUGGAAGGUUGGUUCCUAGUAUUGAGCACAAAGCUCUCUAUAUAUUGGUCGUCUAGUUGUUUCUCCUUCUCAUUUUCCUCUAUCACCUCUAAAAUAUUCUUCUUUUCGUCCUCAUCAUGAUCGUGAUCAUUAUUAUUAGGAUUGUUGGGAGGGAGAUCUGAAUGAACUGCCGCAUCUUUACUGACGAUGAAACGAACCACAGUUAAGCUGAUAUUAGGUUUAGGGUUAGGAUUGCUGGCUAUCCUCCAUGCAUAUGCCAAUGCCUCGCGGUCAUCUGACCCACUAAUGAAGAGCAUGGCACAGCGGCAGCAGCCAUGGCCAUCUUCAUUUUUAAUGUUAGAUGAAUCGGUGAGUCCACGAUCCACGAAGAUGGCCACCGAACAAGAAGCGUUCUCUAGAAGAUUCUUGUUAAUGCCUCUAAAAGAGGGGUUUUCGUUGUCCAUUCCCCCGUAAAUGGUGGAUUGCUUGUGGAAAGGAAUGAUUAUGAGGUCUGCACUCUUGUCGUCCGCAAGGUUGCAAAUGUCCUCAUGCAUGGAGGCGUAAGAGGACACAACAGUUAGUGCCUCCACGAACAAGCUGCUUUCUUCACUUUCGUUCUCAAGUUUUUCAAAGGCAGCGACAAUUUGGUCAGAAGGCGAAGAGUGCUUUUGAUUUUUGGCUGUAAUUUUACUUGUCUUACGAAUAUUGCUGCAUGUGUCGUGGACUAUGAGCAUGGCAGAAGCAUGGCCACUGAGCUCCACCAGAUGGACCGCAAAGACGAACAUCGGGGAUUGUUUGGUGGGAUUGGAAAUCUCCAACAGAUUGAUGACGCUUGAAACAUUGCUUGUUGAAUGGAAGCAAGUAAGGAUUCGAAUCUCUGAGUUGGGUUGUAUGCUUCUUAUGCUUCUGUGCGUGUGCUGCUUAGAUGGCACAUUCGACUUGUAAAUCAAAGCCAAAAUGGGUCCAACCGCGGCCGUCAUUAUCAAAAUUGCAAGCAUCAUUACUGAAAAAGUAUUAUGGUCCAAAACCUGCAUUUAUAUAUAUAUAUAUUUGCCAAUUAAAACAAUAUAAAAUCAGGAAUUUAACACAUGGUUUUAAGAUAUAUAUUUCUUAGAUGUAAUCUAUGUGUACUAUUAUUUAGGAGAACACUUGGUACCAUUGUGUUAAAUUUCGGAGAGACGGGCCAGCGGUCCAUUACCAGCAACACCAAUAUUAUCCCCAACUUGAUUAAUUAAUCAUGGAAUAUUGUGUGUAUGUGGGUGUGGAAGAGGCAGCUGCACAUGCAAUAAUGAAAUAGUUGUACAUAAUGUUGGCGUGGCUUGUGGAUAUUGACUUACUUUCCUUACACACCAAGAAUUCCUAUUAUAAUUGUAAUUGAUUUAUUUUAAUUCCUGAUUUCCUACUGUAAAUGGAUUUAGGAAUUUAUUAUUUACUUGCCCAUUCAGGUUUCGUUGUAUUAUAAAUAUGACAUCCUACAAGGAGAAGAAUACACAGAAAAUUCCCACAAACAAAUAUUCUCUCAUAGUUUUCAUAUUUUAGCAUGGUAUCAGAUUGGCGAUCUUGGAAUUGCUGACUCUAGUUUCAAACCCCCGCCGCCGCUAUGGGGGUUGAUGAUUUUUUCAACCCUCAUGGAGGUAGCACCACCGACUCCUUCUCUCAUUCUCAACCAACCAUCGUUGAGUUGAGUGCCCAGAUGGCUCAGCUCCUACAGAUGCAGACUUUGACCCCGAACCCGAUCCAGAAUCAGGAUCCUCUUUUGACGACCCUGACCCCGACCCCGACUAUGAUGAUGACGACCCCGACCCCGACUCCGAAGACGACCCCGACCCCCACUCUGAUGACAACCCCGACCUCGAAUUUGUCUCUGAUUCAGACCCCGAUACUGAUUUCGACUCCGACUCCGGCCCCGACUUAGGCUCAAAUUCCGAUCCAAAUUCCUACUCAACCUGUAUCCUAUGCAUCUUCCGUUGCACAGAUUAUGACUUCUCGACUAACGACCCCGACACAUGGACCAGAUUGCGCAUAUUGUGGUGAUCCGAGACACACUUGUGAGACUUGUUUUAAAUUGCAUGGCUACCCCGAUUGGUGGGCUGCUUUUACAGAUCGAGGACAAUGCAAUAUGACCAGUAAUGGUACUGGUUAUGGAUUCCAUACUUCCGAUAAGAUUGAUUCCAGGAGCUGGAUAAUUGAUUCUGGUGCAACUGAUCAUAUGACGUUUGAUCCUGAUGAUUUUCUGAAUACUACACAACCUCGACGAACCUGUAUUGCAAAUGCCAAUGGUGUUACUUAUCCUGUGACAGGGGCUGGCACUGUUGCACUUUCAUCCUCUCUCACACUGUCUAAUACUUUACUUAUUCCAUCUUUAUCCACUAAAUUGUUGUCAGUUAGUCAGCUUACUGAACAAUUGAAUUGUUGUGUACUCAUUUACCCGAGUUUUUUGUUUGCUUCAGGAUAUUCACACUAAGGAGAUUCUUGGUCGUGGUACUAAGAGAGGGGGGCUAUAUUAUGUCGAUGACUUCAGUCCCGGCGUGGCUAACAGUGUGACACAUCCCUUUGAUAGCAAACAAAAGCAAAUCUGGUUGUGGCACCGUCGAUUGGGACAUCCGUCUUUUCGAUAUAUGAAGCAUCUUAUACCAGAUUUAUUCUCAGGUUUCAAGGACUUCGACUUCACAUGUGAUACUUGUAUUUUGGCCAUGAGUCACCGUGUGCCCUACCCGUUGAGUACGAACAAGUGUACUACUUCAUUUACCUUAAUUCACUCUGAUGUCUGGGGACCUUCGCCUAUCACUGCUCCUUCUGGUGUUCGAUGGUUUGUCACAUUCAUCGAUGAUUGUACACGGAUGACAUGGCUUUAUUUGUUGAAGAAUAAAAAUGAAGUGUUUUUCCAUUUUCAGUCUUUCCAUAAACAGAUGAAAACUCAGUUUAAUGCUCAAAUCCAGAUUCUUCGCUCAGACAAUGGUGGAGAAUUUGUCAAUCAUGACUUUCAGACUUACUUCCAACAACAUGGAAUUAUCCAUGAGACGACUUGUCCUCAGACACCGCAGCAAAAUGGCAUUGCUGAACGAAAGAAUCGACAUCUUCUUGAAACCGCCCGAGCACUUCUGAUUGGCGCUCAUGUUCCUCGUCAUCACUGGGAUGAUGCUAUUGUCACCGCAGUUCACCUGAUCAACCGCAUGCCUUCUGGUGUAUUGAUCUUUAAAACUCCCUUAUAGGUGCUUGCAGAACACAGACCUCUGCCCUCUGUUUUGGUACUCACACCUCGAAUCUUUGGAUGUGUGGCUUUCGUUCAUCUCCACAAAAAUCAACGUAGCAAACUUGAUCCCUGUGCGCUUCGUUGUGUUUUUGUGGGUUAUGCCACUCAUCAGAAAGGUUACCGCUGUUAUCACCCUCCUACCCAACGAACCUAUGUCACUUUGGAUGUGACCUUUAUGGAAUCUGAGAUGUUCUUCCAUGACCAUCAUCCAAUUCUACGCUUCAGGGGGAGAUACAAAGUGAAGAGCAGAAUUGAAGCAACUUGGAAAACAAAGAAAUUAUUCUCUGUACAGAAAUGAUUGAUCAUCCCGAGUCUGGAGCACGAGAUUACUCUCUGUCGAAAAGCGACCAAUCGCCCAUUCAUAGCGAUCAAUUGCCUAACCCACCUGAUCCAUGCGAAGAUAUUUCUGAUCUAAGUUUCACACCUACAGGCAAUACAAAACAACAAGAUGAAGACCCCCUCUCUAACUCAAUAGUACCAACACACCAAUCUCCUGAGAAUAUCCUUGAGGUAACUACUCCUACUAGACUUGUACAUUUAGAUGAUAAAACUAUUCGAUAUCAAUUACCUUUCAGGCAAAAUCGUGGGAAGCCACCAAACCGUUAUUCACCUGAUAUUGGCAAGACAUCCAAGUAUCCAAUUGCAAAUCAUGUAUCCACUGAGAAGCUGUCUGAACCACUCAAGGCUUUUGUGCAUCAGUUGUCUGCUAUCUAUAUUCCAACAAAGGUCUCUGAAGCAUUGAAAGAUCCUAAGUGGGUCCAAGCUAUAAAAGAGGAGAUGAAAGCUCUUGAGAAAAAUCAAACUUGGACAUUGGAGACUAUACCACGAGGAAAAAAAACUAUCGGAUGUAGAUGGGUGUUUACUAUAAAACACAAUGCAGAUGGAUCUAUCGAGCGAUACAAGGCAAGACUUGUGGCAAAAGGGUACACACAGACCUAUGGUAUAGACUAUGAAGAAACCUUUGCUCCAGUUGCAAAGUUAAACACCGUCAGAGUCUUAUUGUCCUUUGCAGCUAAUUUGGAUUGGCCACUACACCAAUUUGAUGUAAAGAAUGCUUUUCUACAUGGUGAACUCACGGAGGAGGUGUACAUGGACAUUCCUCCUGGAUAUAAUACUUCUCAGAUUGGAACAGUUUGCAGGUUACGAAAAGCAUUGUAUGGAUUGAAACAAUCACCACGUGCAUGGUUUGGACGGUUCACCAUGGCAAUGAAGAACAAUGGUUUCAAACAGUGUAACUCAGAUCAUACUCUGUUCUUGAAACAUCGAAAAGGGAAGGUAACAGCAUUAAUAAUCUAUGUUGAUGAUAUGAUUAUUACUGGGAAUGAUAAACAGGAAAUAUCACAGCUACAAGACUAUCUGGCUACGGAGUUUGAGAUGAAGGAUCUAGGUGGACUCAAGUAUUUCUUGGGAAUUGAGGUGGCUCGAUCACAGCAAGGCAUAUUUCUCUCUCAAAGGAAAUAUGUCUUGGACUUGUUGACAGACACAGGAAUGCUAUAUUGCAAACCUGCGGACACUCCUAUUGUUCAGAAUCAUCAUCUUGGAGAAUAUCCGGAUCAAGUUCCAACUAACAAAGAAAGAUACCAAAGGUUAGUGAGAAGAUUGAUCUAUUUGUCACAUACUCGACCAGACAUUGCUUAUGCAGUGAGCGUUGUUAGUCAAUUUAUGCACUCUCCAAGUGAAGAUCACAUGAAUGCAGUUCUUCGGAUACUUAGAUAUUUGAAGUCUGCACCUGGAAAAGGACAUAUGUUCUCAAAGCAUGGUCAUCUAAAUAUUGAUGGUUAUUCAGAUGCAGAUUGGGCAGGUAAUGUAACAGAUAGAAAAUCCACAUCGGGUUACUUCACAUUCGUGGGAGGUAAUUUGGUGACAUGGAGGAGCAAGAAACAGAAUGUAGUAGCUUUAUCCAGUGCAGAAGCCGAGUUCAGAGGCAUGACUAAAGGCAUUUGUGAACUUCUUUGGUUAAGAAAGUUGCUUACUAAACUUGGGUAUAAACCUACAUCCACAAUGAAUCUCUUUUGUGACAACAAGGCUGCUAUAGCCAUUGCACAGAAUCCGGUUCAGCAUGAACGUACUAAACAUGUUGAGGUGGAUCGACACUUCAUCAAACAGAAGCUUAAGGCUAAAGUGUUUCAGUUUCCUUUUGUGAAAUCCGAGGAUCAAUUGGCGGAUAUUUUGACAAAGGCAAUUUCCAGUAAAGCAUUCCACAAUUCACUAGAUCAGUUGGGUAUUGACGACAUCUAUGCACCAACGUGAGGGGGAGUGUUGGCAUGACUUGUGGAUAUUGACUUACUUUCCUUACACACCAAGAAUUCCUAUUAUAAUUGUAAUUGAUUUAUUUUAAUUCCUGAUUUCCUACUGUAAAUGGAUUUAGGAAUUUAUUAUUUACUUGCCCAUUUAGGUUUCGUUGUAUUAUAAAUAUGACUUCCUACAAUGAGAAGAAUACACAGAAAAUUCCCACAAACAAAUAUUCUCUCAUAAUAUUCAUAUUUUAGCACAUAAUAGUAUAUACAUACAUGUAAGUCCCGCCCAGAAUUGAGGAUUAUUAUAGCGAGCAGGCCUUUGGUGUUCAUGACUAGUCCGAAAGCCAAACUGUCCCUCACCGACAUUUUGUUGAUGAUGGCAGCGACGAAAGUCACAACAAAUUUAGCGAGGAAAGCCAGGGCAACAAUUGACAUGACAAUUAGAAGGCUUGUACUGCGAAAGACAACAACGACAUGCGUUCUCAUCCAAGAAUCAAAAAGAAGAGUGGCAACAAGAUUUUUGACACAAAGUCCUCAACCUUUUCGGUGAUUGCAGUUUUGAGCUCUCCCUUGGGCAAAAUGGCUCCCAACAUGAAGGCCCCAAGAAUGGAGUGUGACCCGAACGCAUCACUAAUGAACCCAAACAGUAGAACCCCGGCCAUGAUAAAGCAUAUUUGGCUGUCCAGGUCGUACUUUUCUUCAAAAAAGCUCGUGUUGCUAACCAUCCACGACAGCGCUGGACGAAGCCCGUAUACACAGAAUAUGAUCAAUGUGAAAGUGGACAACACUGUGUAAAGUUUGCCAUCGCUGAUUGUGGCCACCGUGAUGACAAGAAGAACUGAAGACAUAAGGUCGUUGAUGACGCUUACGGAGAGGGCGGUCCGGCCAACGUCACUGUGCAGUAGCUUGGCAUUGGCAAGUACUCGGGCAAGUUCGGCGAAGUUGGUGGUGGUAAGGGUGAUGCCCCAGAAGAAAGGACCAUAAGUGGUAGCCUUUAGUGGGCGGGAGUUGGGUGUUAGGGUUUUAUGCAGGAGAUAGCCAAGAGGGAGGGGAACCAGAAUUCCAGCAGCGGCAAUGCUCCAAACUUUUUUCUGGCCUGCAAAAUUGGCUUGAAAUCGACCUCUAAGCCCUGGAGGAACAUGUAGUAUAUCAACCCCAAGUUGGCCAUUGUCUCUAUGGUCAAUGUGCUUUUGACUGGAAAUAGGUAUUUGCGAGAGAACUGGGUUUUCUGGACAUAAGAUGGACCCAAAAUUAUGCCACCCUGCAAUGUGCGUGCCAAUGUAUUAUUAUUUGUCUUUGUCAUUAAAAUAUCAAUAUUAUAUUUAUAGAUGUGAUAUUCUCAAUGAAAAUUCGUGUUUCACCAGGUAAUCGUUUGUCUCUCGCUAUAAAAUUCUGAUCAUAAAGCAUAGAGCAUAGAGCAUAGAGAUAUAGAAUAGAAUUACAGCUUACUUACAAUAAUGUAAGCAAUGAUGCGAGGUUGGUGCAAAGGUGCAAGGAGAAGCUUGAGAAGGUGGCAUAUAAACAUAAUGAGACCUAGUUGGGUGAAGAAGAGAGGAAGAGUUGAAAGCAAGGCAUUCUCAGCCUUCCACACCCCAGUCACGUGUGUUAUCGUUUUAUUAUAACAUACCCUCGUAACAUCUGCUUCUACUACCCCGCCAUUGUCUCGUAGCGCAUCAUCCAUUACGUACGAUACUUAUAUUUACAAUUUUCUUUUUAUAAAAGCGUUGUUAAAGAAUUGGAGGAUUCAAACAAAAGACCUCAAAUGCAAAAGAAACUGUCCUUACCUACUUGAGCUACAAACUCUAUUUACAAAUUAGAUAAUAGGAAUUCAAGGUUUCUGUCAGCCCUCCCAAGCUACAUCAGGACGUCUUUCUUUUGCCUUGGAUGAAGUCCAAAUCGCUAGAAACACCACUUCCAUCAAAGACAAAGACAAAGACUAUGACAAUGAAACUAGAAAAGAAAAGUGAUUGUUAUCAGACAACAAAAAUUAAAGAGGAAUGAAUAGAAAUCAAAGUUUCAAUACUGAGGGAUUAAUUAGUUAAUUAGUUGCGCCUAAACUAGCUGUAAACUCUUCUUAAUUUGUUGGCUGUUAGUUCAGUUUGGUUGGCAUCCACGCAUUAUUAGACUUUUAUUUUUAUUUUUGGUGGCAUCCAUAUAUGCAUUAGAAUCUUCUUAUUGAAUUGAAUUGGAUUGGUUGGCUUUUCGAUCUCUUCCAAUUUUCCAUAAAUAAAGUUCUGAUGAAUCUCUACAUGUUUUGUUCUAUCAUAUUGAAUUGGAUUUUCAGCAAUCUUAAUUGCUAACUAAUUAUCACAAUACAACUACAUAGUAUCCUCAGUAGGAAAACGCAGCUCCCCCAUAAGCCUUUUCAACCAUAUAUAGCAGUUCACGAACACCUUUCACCAUAGCCUGAUAUUUGGAAAAUAGUAAGUAAACGCAGGGAGAAGUAAGAAAUUGGAAUCAUUCUAAUAACCAUGUGUAAGUAAACGCAAGAAAAGAAGGAAUUGGAAUGAUUCUGAUGCCUCUUUCUCUGUGUUAAAGUAAGUUUUCUUAAUGUUUUAUUAUUACUAAAAAUAAUUGAAAGAAUGAAAUUUUGAAUAAGAGAUGUGGAUGUCCGACUCAAGCUACCAUAUAAAUUAGUUUACAAAUUAAUGUAUAUAGAAUUGUGGUAUGAGUUAAAGAAAGAGAUAUAAAAUUAUGGUAUAUGAGUUGUAUUAUUGUUGGUGCUUGAUAUGAUAUAAGAACAUGGUAGGCAAGCUUAGUUUGCGCUAGGCACGCCCUCAGUGAGUGAGAAUGAAGGUAUUGAAGAAAGAUUCUGCUACUUUUGAGGAAAGAUUUACGGGACAGGUGUGGUUUCAGUGCGUGUUUGCAGCCAUUACGCUGAUACUGCUGGCGGGGUCGGUGCUUGGGAGGAUGAACUUCAAGGCGUGGAUGAUGUUCGUGCCGCUUUGGCUUACAUUUUCGUACACUGUCGGAGCUUUCAGCUUGUGGGGUGGAGGGUUCUUGUUCCAUUGGGGUGUCAUGGACUAUUCCGGUGGUUAUGUCAUUCAUCUUUCUUCCGGGAUUGCUGUCUUCACUACUGCUUACUGGGUAAAUUAAUUAAAUAAUUAACUACGCUAUUGCUAGUUUUCUUUCUCUCCAUUAGUCAACGUCUACAGGCCUGGUAAUUAUUGAUUAAAUAGUGCAUUAAUUCCUUGUAAUUAUAAAAUAGUGGCUUUAAUUUCUUUCGUUUUCUUCUUGAAUUUAAUAGUGACUAAACUCACACAUACUAUACGGAUGCUAAGACUCGAACUCAGAACCUUUCCAAACCACUGUUACACUAGAAUCAAUAGGAUCGAAUAUAUACAUAUUCCAUAAAGAAUUAAUAGGAUCAAAUUGAUGAGAUUCAAUUACAAGAUUCCCUGAAAAGGUGGAAGAAGAAACAAAAAGUCCUCCCUUAGGUUACUUAAAUUAAAACUGGCUUCUUAAUUAUUCAAAAGUAUCUGUGGAUGAAUCAUGGAUCAUCAGAAUCCUUAGACUUCGCAUCUCAUGCCUUAGACUUCGUGCAUAGUGAUCACAUAUUUUCUAUUCGCAAACUAUCUUUUAGGGUAAAGUCUACUAGGUUGGAAUAUUAUUAUUUUAAUUGGGUUACAAAGUUAUAAUAUUAACGAUGAUGACCUACAAAUAGUUUUAUUUUAUAUGUUGCCCCAUUUUUAAAUACUAUUUUGCCCUAUGUAUAUGGAUCACAAUAUUUAUCAAUAUGUAUAGUUCGGGUUAGGAAACGACAAAAAGUUGAUAUGACUAGGAGCUUAAAGAAUUAAUGAAGCGUGGAUGCAUUAACAGGGGUGGACCAUAUAUAGAUGUGGACAUCAAAAAUAAAAACAAAAACAAAAUUGAAUAUACGAAAUGUGACGGACGUGGUGUUUCAUUUUCAGUUUUUCUAAUAACAUCUUACGGAAAUCAUAUUCUAAAUUACUUCAAGUUAUUCUAACAUACGAAAAGUUAAUAGGUCUAAUUUAGUGGAAAAGAAUAUUAACUUAUAGAUCAGUAGUCUCAUAUUCAAAUCCUCAUAACACCUUGAUAGUGUGUGUGUGUGAAAAACUCCCUCUCUUUUGAAGUUUACAUUACGCUUAUAUUGCAAAAUUAUAUAUAUACAAAAGAGAGUAUUAAUGAGUUAUUAUUGUUUGUUAAUUCAUGAAAAUGAAAUGGUGAUGAUGAAUAGGUAGGACCAAGGGUGAAGAAGGACAGGGAGAGAUUUCCACCAAACAACGUACUUCUGGUGUUAGCAGGAGCCGGGUUGCUGUGGAUGGGAUGGGCAGGUUUCAACGGGGGAGACCCGUACGCGGCAAACACGGACUCAUCCAUGGCCGUCCUCAACACCAACAUCUGCGCCGCCACGAGCUUCUUGGUUUGGACUUGGCUCGAUGUCAUCUUCUUUGAGAAGCCUUCCGUCAUUGGAGCUGUCCAAGGAAUGAUCACUGGCCUCGUCUGCAUUACUCCUGCUGCAGGUACGUAUUACGUAAGUUCUCAAGUUGACUUUUUUCCAGAGUUGAGUAAAGUUGAAUUAUAUGCCUAUGGGUUUAAUCUAGUGAAAAAGGAACUUGAUUUGCAAAACAAUAAGAGUAUAUGUGAGAAAACUCCCCUCCUUUUCAAACCUUGACCCAAAAAAAAACAAAGCAAAGUUGACUUAUAUUUAUCAUCCCAAUUAAUAAAAACAAAAUUAAUAUACUUACUUACUCGUCACAAAACGCAUUGCCUUCCAUUAAUUAAUCCAGAAAAAAUAAGUUUAUUUGACUUUUGACUAUUCAUAUUUACGUUCCCUCACAGACCACGUUCUAGUUCUAUUUGGUAUCCUACUUGGAUUCAAUUUUAUAAACUCAAAAACAAAUUUUGAAGUUUAAAACCACAAAAACUCGUUUGAUAUGCCCCUUUUUAAAAACUCAAACUCAAGAAAAAUUCAAAAGCACCCCUUUAUUAAAAAAAAAAAGAAGAAGAGGUUUUAUAGUUUUUUUCUCUCUCCUCCCUCUCCCUGUCUCUUUCUCUCUCCUUCCACUUCUCUCUCUCUCUCUCUCUCUCUCUCUCUCUCUCUCUCUCCUUUUAUUUUGGAGGUUUCAAUUUGAGAAUUUAGGGUUUCUGAUUUUAAUUUCAAUUUUUUUAGAUCUUAAAAAUAGUUUGGAGUUCAAUACCAAAAAAGUUUUUGAAUCUUAAAAUCACCAUUUGAAAACUCAUAUUUUAAAAAAGAAUCAUAGUUUUUGAAUUUUUUUUUUUUUUUUUUUUUUUGAGUAGGAUACCAAACAAGGCCAAUUUCCUUUAAAAAAAUUCUCAUAUGGUUCUCUAACGUUUUCUCUAAAUAUAUUUGCAUCUCUUUAUAUAUAUUAUUUAGCCAGUUUUUAACAGGAGAGGUGACUCAUGGCAUGUUGUGUUGACCAUGCACAGUCAUUUAAUUAACCAUAUUAACUAGCUAGCUUUUAUUUUACUUUUGUUUGUUCAUAGACUGAUACAAUAUUAUUGUUUAAAUAUGUAAAUUAUUUAGGUCUGGUUCAAGGAUGGGCCGCUAUAGUGAUGGGAGUUAUGUCAGGCAGUGUGCCAUGGUUCACCAUGAUGAUAGUGGACAAGAGGUGGAAACUGCUAUCUGCAGUUGACGACACCCUUGGUGUAGUUCACACCCACGCCGUGGCCGGGUUUCUUGGCGGCGUUUUAACGGGGCUUUUCGCUGAGCCUGAACUAUGUGCACCUAUUUAUCAUUGGAUGGAAUAUUGUGGUCACCUACAUUAUUUGCCUAGUCUUACGGUGUAUAGUUCCGUUGCGCAUGCCGGAGGAACAGUUACUGAUUGGGGAUGACGCAGUGCAUGGAGAAGAGGCAUAUGCAUUGUGGGGUGAUGGGGAGAAGUAUGAUGUUACUAGGCAUGAGCUUUACUCCGACGAUACGUCACACGCUCAAAAAUAUCCAUCCAGUGGUGCCACUCAGGUGGUCUAACUCAAAGUUAUAUAUUAUUUAUGUUAAUAAUCUGUUCCAAAAAGAAAAAAGAAAAAAAAGGCCAAAAAUGAAAAGAGGAAAAAACGAAGUACGAAAAAUAGGUGUUAUUGUCAAUUAUUAUCUUAUUUUCUGGUGAUCUUUUCAAUGUUUUAUGUAAACUGCCUAUUGCCUCCGGUAAUUAUUCAGGGAAAUUUGGAACACCAAACCAUUUUUAACAUGUUUAAGAUUAUUAGCCCCUUUUUUUAAUUUACAAAAUAUAAUCACUAGAGCCCUCUCGAAUAGUGUUACCUUUACUUGAACCCUAGCAUUAGUAUUUGGAUCUUUAUUAGUAACUACAAAGGCUCCAUUUGGUGGAGAGAGACUUUCAUGCAACAGAAAUAACACUUUUUGUUAUCUUCGAUCAAUAGAGCAAUAACAUGCGGGAUAAUUCUUCCACGUGUCAUUGCAUUAUUGACCGAGAAUAGCUAAACAAUGAUAUCCUCGUUACAAGAAAUUUGUUUUUUGCAUUUGGUGGAUGGAUAAAAACACUGGAUUGGAUCCAUAAUCAUACUCCUGUGUUUAGUGGCCCAAGUCCACUUGGAUUGGAUUACUUCUAAAUUCUAUUCCUGUCAAACUCAAUUUUAGUAGGAUUAGGAAUCCCCCCAAAACUAGGGGUGGACAUUCAAACUGGAAAAUUGAAAAACUGAGCCGACAAAAAACUGCAAUUUUGUACAAUUUUAGUUCUGAUUCUUGUUGUGAAAAAGCUUGACUGGGUCAAACCAGACUGACCACGUAUUUUUAAUAUAUAUUUAACCCCAUUACUAAAUUUGUAAGCCUAUAACUAAUCUUUCUCUAAAUCACCUAUAUUUUUUAGGCCCAAUCACCUCCCUUUGCAUUAAAUUAGGUCACUUGUGAAUUUUUAAAAUUCAAAAAAAAAAUAAUUUAAACAAGGGUAUACUAGUGAUUUGCCCCUGAACUUGUACCUAAUUUUCGAUUAAGCCUCUAUCCUUUUUUUUUCGAAAAUUAAGGAUAUGAACUUUUUUUUUCAGCCAAUUUCCCCCCUAUCGUCUAAAUUCUCAACAUUUCAUCCAAUUUUCAGUUAAAUUAUUUUAAAAAAUUACUUUUUUUGAAAAAAUUGAAGAAAAAGAGUAAACCUAAUGCCAACCCCUUCCAUCUCCUCCCUUCCUCCUCCCAUUCUCCCAUGACCACCAUCCUUUACUCCCAGACCAAUCCCCCACCCCCACACCCUUCAAUCCACAGACCCCUCCCUCCUCCUCUCCCUGUUCACCCGUUUUGAUUUCUACUCCUGUGAUGGAAGGGCAAAGUUCCCCAUUGCCUUGAAAACCAUUGACUGGUCAACAAGCCAACUUUCUUUGGUGUGCGAGCGUGCCACUAAUAGCAAUGAAAAAUCCUAGCAGACUUCUUUGAAACAGAUAACUUGCGCCCCAAGUUACUAAUUUGUAAACAAACGAUUAUGAAUUUGGGGGAAGAAUAUCUCCCAAGUAAGUUCUUUUCCUGCCUCAGGCUGGUGAGGACUUCAUAAUUUAUCACAGUAUAAAAUUGGUAGUUCUGGCCAGAAUAGAUGAUAAUAAAGUGGACUGUUUUAGGCAGAACUGCCUUUUACAAAUUUAAGAAGGAAAAACCAACUCUAAAAAGACAAAAAGAUGGCUGGAAUCCCAUUUCUGCCUGGGUAGAAACUUCUAAUCCAGGACGGACUGAGCUGUUAACAACUUCUACUGCUUAGCUUUAGCUGUAAAUCGAUACCAAGGUUCAAUUUUGGCAGAGCUUUAAUAUACUUCAAGCCUUGGGAGGCUUUUGAACAGGCAGAACUGCGGUUUCUUUAGUCUGAAGGGGUAGAAAUGGCUGGACUUGAGGAUUUAAUGAGCUGGAACUGCACUGUAAAAUUUGUUGAGGUUUUCAUAUUUGUGAAAACUUAAACUCUGCUUGGGCUUUUGCUGAACCAAAUUUGUAACGAGAGGAGUCUCGUAUUGGAUGACUUAUUUCUCUGAGUUUGAACUUGGAAGUUCUGAUCUACGGCUGGCUUCUUUUGUGGUUCAAAUGAGCCUUUGGUUGCCCCAAUUUGUUUUGAAGGUUCUCAGUGAUCAAGUGAUCAUUUUGAGUUUUUUUUUUGCCUUUGGUUGAUGUUUUUUUUAUUUUUUAUUUUGAUCGUCUUUUGAUUGUCUAACUUUUCCUAUAUUUAUAAGAAAUGCUUUGAAGUAGGGUUUCUUUCUUUUAAUAAUGGGUGGCAAAAAUUCUCAAAAAGAUCUUUCAUUUUUCUAUACAAAGAAGAAGAAGUUUUUAUCAAUUGCUGGCAGAUAGGCUUUCGAUAGUCAGUUCUUUUUAAGACCAAUCACUUCUCUGUUUUUUUGAAAGAGAACCUAACCCCUCUUUAAUUCCAACUGCCCCUUUGUGAGAGCUCAAACCGUGAUGUUCAGUUUGCUUUUCCAGUUUGAACAACUCCUUGUUUUCCUGCUUAUCUUUUUUUGGGAAAUUUAGCCUGCGUAUCCCUUGAAAGAUGGUGCUUUCUUUGGAGUAGAAACAAUAUCUCUGAAUAUAUAAAAGGGUUUUGAUCUUUGUGGUGGUAGAGAUUUCAGAGACAUCCUUUCUUUCUGCCUCCCUCUGUCAACUCUCUUAUCAACCUAGUUGAUUUUGUUUGACUUUUCUAAGUCAGAGAAAAACAAUCACGUGGGUCUGUUUUCUUUUGAGUUUCUACUUUUUACUUUGAUCAUGCCAAGCCCAAUUUAGUUUCUUCGAAACCCAAGCUUGAGAUAGGUUCUAGGCCGGGCUUUUGUUGGAUUUUGGACCUUUGGUUCAUGUUUAUUCUCAGAGUCCAGACUUCUCGGGUCCAGCAUUGUUGUCUUUGUUAUUCUGGGCUUUGUAGCGUUUGGGCUGGGUGCGCAAGAUUUUGGCCCAAACAAUCCCUUUUUGUUCUUUCAACCACACACUCAUCACCACCAUCCCCAACAGACCUUCCGCCGUCGCCGCCUCUCUCUCUCUCUCUCUCUCUCUCUCUCUCCACACACACACUCCCUCAAUUUCCCACCCCAUCUGUUAAUUUCAAUAUCUCCACACUCGAAAAGCUCACAGUCGAUCCAAGCCUUUCAAUGCCUCCCAUCUCAAGCUUUUUCCAAAUUCACACAAAACCCAUCAACCAAAACAUCAAAAAAUUCAAUCUUAAACACUUGGAUUUGGAAAAAAGAUCAAAAUCAAAUAAAAUCUAAUAGAAUUUAAAUCCAUGCCACCGGAUAGCAUUUGGGGUGGGAGGUUGUGGGGAAGGAGAAAAAAGAGAAGGGACGGUUGGGGUGGGGUGGAAGGGCCAUUGGAAGUUAUAUGGAGAGAGGGAGCGUAGAGGGGCCAGAAAAAAUAGAUGGAGAGGGUAGGGGUGAGGGAGAGAGUGAUUGGUUGGAUGGGCCUCUCUCUUAUUAAAAUAUUUUUUCUUUCAUUUUAUAUUUCAUAUUAUUGUAUUUGUGUAUUUAAUUAUUUUAACAUAUAAAAUGACCAUUUUGCCCUCAUAUUUAAUGGCAAAUUGGAUGAAAAGAAGUUCAUAUCCUUAAUUUUCUAUAUAAAAAAAAUAAAAAAAUAAAAAAAAAACAAGACAGGGGGUCAAUUGAAACCAAAGUACAAGUUCUGGGGGCAAAUCACUAGUAUACCCCAAAAACAAAAAUUUCAAUCCCAAUUAUGGGCAAAUUAGACCGCAUUGGAAUGAAUGAAUUUUUUUUUUUUUAUCAAAACCAAACCAAAUCAGACAAAUAAAUAGUGCUAGUUCCGGUUUGGGGUAAGAACCAGAUCGUGCUUACCCCUAACGAAAACUAAGGGAUAAACUCGGAUAUGCUACGAUCGAGUGCAACCCAACCCCGACAGAUUAGGUUGCAGUCGUCUCCUCCAAUCUUCAUCCCCAACAUUGAGCCUCCAUCACCUCGACGAUAACUCAGCCAUCUCCGACAAACUUGAGCAAUUUCUGGCAAAACCCAACCAUCUCCUGCCCAAACCAUUUCAUCACUGAUCAUAUUUCUCCUAUGAACUUCUUCAUCAUAAGUGAUCAUUUCAUCACUGAGAUUCUCAACAUCUUGUGUUUUUGUUAGAUUGUAUGUGAGUUUUGAUUAUUAAAUUCUUUGACAAUAUUUGAGUAGUUUAUAGGUUAGGAUAAAGCUUGAAUUCACCGGAAAAUUUUCAUUUUUUCUAUAAAUAUUUGACAUACAAUAUGGGAUUUUUUUUCAUUUUCUCUUUUACAUUUCCUGGGUUUUUGUAAUGUUUGAAAUCUAUGUGUGUCUGGGACUGCAAUUGGGUAUAUUCUUUGAAGGCCCAAUUUUGUCUUUUACAAAUUUACAACUGCUAUUAAAUUUCUAAUAUCCAUUUAAGCAAUUAACGGAGCGGAGAUGAUAAAAUUUGUUUAAAUUUAUAUUGAUUAUGAUUAUUUAUAAAUUUAUAUAGAUUAUGGUUAUUUAUAGUUUAUUUUUUGGAUUUAUAAUUGGGAUAUUUGUAGAAAUGUCACCUGAAAUUCUACCUUAGUUUCAAUUUGUUAACUGAAAUUUUUUUUUAAGAGAAAUGUCACCUGAAUUUUUCAAAAUCUAUCAUUUGUCACUUGACUUUAACAUCAUCCAAUUUUCCAUCUAUUUUGAAGGGUAAUUUAGUCUUUUUAUUUUCAAUGGUAUUUUAAAAAUAGAAAAUUCAUUAUAAAAAAAAAAUUAUAUAUCUUUUAAAUAAUUAAAAAUAAAAAGAAAAAAUUGUGAAAAAAAACUUCUCUCUUCUCCCUCUUUAUCUUCCACACCCACCAUCACUACUCUAUUUAAAUACAAUUUAAAAUAAAUAAAUAAAUAAGAGUUAACUUAAUAAAUAAAUAAUUUUUUUUAGAACAUAAAAAUCAAAAAUCAAAAGAAUGAAUGACACCACCUCCAAUCCUCCAAUCCCAACCGCCAGCCACCAUUGUUCUCUCUUCUCUUUCUCCCCAACAACAACCCACCACCCCAACUCUGAUCCAUCUCACCCCUUAAUAUAUAUCUCUCUCUUCCUCUCACAAGAACAAACCCUGCCCCACCAUCCCUAGUUGCUCACCCUAGAUUUUCCAACCCAUCUCCACCCCAAUCUCUGCCCAUUCGAGGGUCACCCUACUUCUCUGUCUCCAUCUCUCCCAUUUGGCCAUGCCCAUCCUUCCCACCUCUCCGUUGCUGGGUCCUUCCUUCCCCCGACAACCCCCUUCCUUUUUUCAAGUUUUUUUCCUUUCACUAAUUAUUUAUUUAUUUAUUUAUUUUUUGUCUGAUCAGUUUUUAAAAUUUGCCAAUAUGUUAAAAAUGGAAAACUUAGGUUUUUACAUUUAACCCCCCAUCCAUUUUUACAUUUAAGCUUUUUUUUUUUUAAAUAACAAUUUUUUUCAUUUUAAAAAUACCCUUGAAAAUGCAAAAACUAAAAUACACUUCAAAAUAGAUGGAAAAUUGGAUGAUGUUAGAGUCAGAUGACAAAUUUUAGAUUUUGAAAAAUUAAGGUGACAUUUCUCUUAAAUUUAUUUCUCAUGUGACAAAUUGAAACUAAGGUAUAAGUUCAGGUGACAUUUCUACAAAUAUCUCUUUAUAAUUUUUAUGAUUUUUAUUUUAUGAGAAUUUGACUUUUUAUCUCCAGGUAUUGGAAAAUUACUGUUUUUAUUUAUUUUAUUACAAAAUUGUUAUUUUUUAUGUAGAAAAGUUCAAAAUUAAAAUGGCAUGUUUAACUUAAUCCAGUUUGACACCAAACAUAGGAUUUGAUUGGUGUUAUCCACUCCAAUCCAAUGCAAUUCAAUCCUACUUCAUAAUCCAAUUCAAUUCCGGUCCCCAAACAGACUAAAAGAUUCAAAAGAACUACACAAUUAAACCUUAUUAAUUCCCUUCAAGUAGUGCUUGAACCUUACUUGAAUCUCUUAAUUAGUACCAAUGUUUACAAAGAGGGAUUCAAUUAAUCUGUAAAUAGACAUCAGUUGAAUCCAAAGUCAAAUUCAAAAGAUAUUUAACCCCAAUUUAUAGACCUUAACUAUGUACAAAUGGUUCAGCCCUAAGGAAAGAGAGAAAAUCCUAAGGAACCCCUUGGGGUCAGUGGCCUCCCUCCCUCCCCUCUCCACUAGUUCUUCCCUACUCUCCUAUCCUCCCCUCCCCUCCCCUCUCCUCUCAUCUCCUUACAUCCCUAUUCCCCUCGAUACUUCUUUGUUUUUGUUUUUGUUUUUUUUUUUUUGGUGGUGUGAAAUCAACUGUUGUGAAAUGAUGUAGUCGUCAUGAUAGUUGUCAUCUUUCAACCCACGUACAUGAGAAUUUGGCUCCAUUUGUCAUCCUUCAACAUGGUUUAGAGCCACAAGAUGGGAAAAAUGUCGGGCUGCAUCGCGUUUGGGUUUAACCGGUGAAGCUGUGGCUUUCUGUCGGCUGUUGAGGAUGUGGAGCGAUGGCCUUGCUUCUUAAUUUGUUUUUGUCUAAUAAUUUCCAUGAAUCCAUGAACUGUAUAGCAAUUUGGUGUGUGUGUGUGUGUGUGUGUGUGUUUAUUUAUUUAUGUUUAGGAGGUUUUAUUUCUUUUUAGCUUUUACGGAUCUCUCAUUUUUGCUGAUGCGCAGCGAAUUUGUAUUAGAGGUUCGAGUAGGUGUGCUUUUGGUUGCUGAGUCAGGGAUUAUAGUAAUUUUGUGGAGAAGAUUCGUGUUGUUGUUGCAUUUAGUCACUGGAGAAGAUUUACCAAUAUUCAGAACCAUAAUUGCUUUGUACUUUUUUCAUAAAAAAAAUUAUUAUCGAAUAUUCAGAAGGCAUUUAAUUCCCUUUUUCUUGAACCGUUGGUCAUCUAUGUUGCACGGGUAUGUUGAUAUGAUACGAUAAGAUUCAUCGAUAAGGCAAAAUUCCAAAAAACUAGGAUAGGGGUACAACAUCGAUACGGUGAUUAAAAUAAUAUAUAUUUAAAAAUAAUAUAAAUAGAAAAAAUUAAUAUUACAUCCAUCAUGUCAUAAUCAUCCAUCAGAAGUGCAAAACAUAAAACUAAACACAAAAUACAAGUCUCCAUAAACAAAACACAAAAUACAAGUCUUCAUAGGAUUGUUCAAAUCAUAAAAAAAUAUAUAUAUAAAAAGCAAUACAAAAACAAAAUUUCUAACUUCAUUCAUCAUUGUCAUCAUAGGUAAAUAUGAUUGCUUCUAAUUCCUUCUUCCUAUUUCUUCUUCUUUUAUAGUUAUUCUCUCCCAAAUAAAAUGAAGACCUAGCUUCUAGCUUAAGAACACACACCAAAUCAAAGUUACUCAAGGCAAACAAAACUCACCUUCUAGAGGAACAGAAAAACUGGGAACUGAUACACAAUAAAAUAAGAGAAAGCCAAAUUCACCGGUUCCUCAAGAGUACAUUUUACAAAUUAAUGACACAAAGGGAGUUUUGCAAAUGAUCAAUACACCAGUAGAUUAGUUAAAUAUAAGGUGCUUACAAAACAAAAAAAUCAGGAAUCGAUUAAAUACAUAGUUGGUCAUUAAGGUCUACAAGAAUCGAUUAAAUGUCUUUCCAAUGAUAAAGUUUUUUUCUAGUUUUUGGAAAUACUUAAUAGUGUUGUUUUUGCAGCCAAGUUAUUUUAGUUAUGUGAGACAAAUUGUAUAGAAAAGUGAGAAGUAGAGAAAGACAAUAGAAAUUGUUCUUAAAAGUAUCUUUUGUGCUUCAUAAAGCACCUGUACUGCUAAUUACCAUAAUAAGUGUAUAGGUUACAAAACAUAGAAAUUGUGGAGAUUAUAAACUUCUGUAAAAGAAAACGACACGAUUUUAAUUAGCGUGUUUAUGUUUUUUUUUUUUCUUUAAAGAAACUAUUUUCUAACCUUAAAAAGAUCCAAAUAUACCACUAAAAGUAGGUUUUUUAUUUGGGGAGAAUAGAUGCUUUAUUAAAAAUAGAGUAAUGCUACACUUAUCACAUUUUUAUCCCACAUUUCUAUACCGCAUGAUGUGGCAUACCCAUAUUAUAUGCCACAUCAAUUAAAUCAAUGAAGUGUAUUUUAAUUAAGACAAUUAGAAAAACAAAUACUAGAAUAAAUCAUAAAAGAAAAGAAAAUAUUAAAUAAUUUUAAUUGAUGUGGUUGUGUACCUCAGCUGUUACAUAAGAUGGUAUAAAGAUGUGAUAUACAAAUGUGGUAAGAGUAGCAAUAUUCUUAAAGAUAAUAAGCACCAUAAGAGUUUAUAAAAGAUAGCACUAAAAGUAACCAAUACUAUUCAAAACCCGAACAUUAAAGACAUAAACAAAUGCAUAAAAAAUUAAUACUAGCUUACUAAUAUUACUAUUAUUACUAUAGCCCCUUCACUCACGCCAGAGGAUGAGGAGAUGGAAAUCCUGAAUCAUUAGGAACUCAAAGAAGCCAAUAAUUUAUUGGGCAAUUUCCAAGACCAUGGCCAAGCACAAAAAAUGAGACCAAUGCUGCAGGAAAGAAACAAAUGGAUAUUGGACCAAAGGCUUGUUGCACUAAUAAGUUCCAUAUCCAAGAGACCAAUGGGCCUCGUGAAGUAUAUUUAGAGCAAAGUUACAUGGGAGCUUCUAUAGUGAGUGGGAAGUUAUAAGGGGUGUUUUUGAGGGGUAUGUAAGAGCCGUUGGAUUUCAUCCAACGGUGAGUUUUUAAAAGAGGGUGCAUGUAGAAUCGGGUUGAAAUCUAACCCGUUAGAAACCCAACUUCAGUUGUUCCCCUCUUUCCCUCUCUGUGAAAAACUAAAGAACACAAUCCUUUCUUUUUGAAUGUAAAGCAAACCCACAAUUAGAAGGAUCCAAAUCUCCCAAACCUUAUAGUCACUCCACUGUCAUUAGCUCGUUGGGAGGCCUGCGAUCUAUGGUAUCCUGGGUAUUACGAAGAAUGGCUCUUACCUAGCUGUUGCCCUGUUUUGAUUCUAUGGCUCAAGUGAAAACCCCUUCUCUUUUUCAUUCAGCUGACAAGAUUCCAGAUGAAAGCAAAGUAGCAUAUCUGUUUUUGUAGCUAGAAGCCGCAGCAGCAGUUGUUCCUUGAUUUUGGUAGAGAUGGAGUCUCAAAUACCAAAGAGUCUUCUGUAAUGUCCACCACAUUGUUUCAAGCUGACUGACUUCAGAGCUCCCGAUUGAUUUUGAGAGGUAAGUUCACUUGCUGGAUUGAUUUUAUUGGGUUAGGUUUAUUUUUUGUGAGGGUGGGAAAUUCGUCAUUUGUGGCAUCAAUAAUGUGUCAUUUCCUUAUGAAUAUUCAAUAUACUUAGUUCAUUGUUGUUGGUCGGGGUGGAAAAUUAUGAAAUGUAGGUAAAAGAACCUAAACUUAGGCUUAAUGACAUUAGGAGUAAGCAGUUGGAGAGGAUAUUGGGUGAAGUUCUGUAAUUGGUGGUUUGAAUUACAUUUGUGUUCUUAGUUGAACAUGUUGGUUCUAAUGUUAUUUUGACCAGAUUAUUUCCCAAGAGAUGACGUAACUUGUAUGAAAUUUUGCUUGUGUUUUGUGUAAUCGGAAGUUAGGCUAUGCGUAUUUUGUGUCAAUUUGGGCAAUGUUUUGUGUAAGUGGAAUGCAUUGAUAUGUUGUGAUGCAGUAAUGACUGAUUAAUGAAUGAAUAAUUGCUAUGCAGUAAUAUAGAAGUGGAUCAAUAAUAUACGUAGAUAAAAUGUCUGGGGGCUCAGAGAGUGAUGAAUGUGCAACAGCUAAUGGGAGGGUUUAUAUUCCUGAAGUAAGAAAUGAGGAAACACCAGCAGUUGGGAUGAAGUUUGACUCGCUUGACCUCGUUUACAAUUUCUAUAAUAGAUAUGCAUUCUUGGCUGGUUUUGGUAUUCGACUUCAUUCUAGCUUUUGGGGGAAAAAUAAGAAAGAGAUUUUGAGGAAAGAAUUUGUAUGUUGCAAACAAGGUGCAUACAGGAAGGAUGAAACUCGGGAGAGAAAAAGACAACGGGGAAUAAGUAGAUGCAAUUGCAAAGCAAAGAUUGUGGUUGUGAAGAGAAAUGGGAGCAAGAAGUAUACCAUUUCUCUUUUUGCAGAGGGACACAAUCAUAAGAUGACACCCUCAGAAAGAAUGCAUUUAUUGAGAUCACACCGUCAUAUUUCAGAUUCUACAAAAGUACUCACAAAACAGUUGGGUUCAGUUAAUAUUCCCAUUCAUCAGAAGGUAAGUAUUUUCGAGGUGCAAUCCGGAGGAAUGGAUAAAAUCGGUUUUAUCAAAAAAGAUAUCUACAAUCUUGAAUGUAGUGUGAAUGGGAAGCUGAGGAACCACGAUGUUGAACUAGUGACCGAGUAUUUUAUGGCUGAACAGAAAAAAAAUGAGGCUUUUUAUUUCAAGAUUGAGGGAGAUGGGCACGACAGGUUUAGUCGAUGUUUUUGGGCAGAUGCAACUUCUAGACGGGCGUAUGGGUUUUUUGGAGAUGUUGUUGUAUUCGAUACCACAUUCAACACGAAUCGAUACGACUUGACAUUUGCACCAAUGUUGGGAGUUAAUAACCAUGGUCAGACAAUUGUGUUAGCAUGCGCAUUUUUGAGCAAGGAAACGACUGAGUCGUUUGUUUGGAUGUUUGAGGAGUUUAAGAAAGCCAUGCCAGGUGGGGAACCUAAAACGAUCAUUACAGAUCAAGAUGCGGCAAUGGCCAUAGCGAUUUCAAUAGCCUUCCCGAGUACAUUUCAUCGACUUUGCAUAUGGCACAUCACAUCAAAGUUCUCUGUUAAGUUACCACGUGACGCUUAUAAGGAGUAUUGGCCUGAAUUUCAGAAAACCAUAUGGGAUACUGACAAUAAGGAUGAGUUUGAUGCAAAAUGGAAUAUUGUGGUUACAAAGGCUGGUUUGACUGACCAUCCAUGGCUAAGUUCAAUGUUUGAUUUAAGGGAAUCUUGGGUUCCAGCCUACGCACGACAAUUUUUUGCCGCUGGAAUGUCAAGCAGCCAAAGAGCGGAAGGUUCUCAUGGUUUUUUCAAGCAAUACAUAUCAAGGAGAAAUUCGUUGAUGGAUUUCAUAAUACGAUUUGAGAGGGCACUUUCUCAUCAACGUGAAAAAGAGUUAGUUGCUGAUCACGUAGAUGCAUUUGAAGUGGCUCAAUGUCUUCUACCGAUGCCAAUGAACAAACAAAUGGCUACCUUGUACACAAGGACAAUGUUUCAAAAGUUUGAGCAAGAACUAAUACAAAGUACAGCAUGUUUCCUAGAGCUCAAAACAGAGGAUGCUUGUAAAGUUGUGUUCAACGUGAGCGAAAGGAAAAAUUGGGAAACAAGGGUGGCAGAAGUCGUAUAUGUCAAAGAUUCUGACCACGCAUCGUGUAGCUGCAAAAGAUUUGAAUUUGUUGGAAUUAUUUGCAAGCACAUCCUAGCAUUGUUCAGAAGGGACCAGAUUGAAUAUAUGCCCGAUAAAUAUAUUUUGAAGAGGUGGAAGAAAACUGCGAAAUGUGGAUUGGUGUCAGAUGCAAAUGGCAACGAAAUUAAAGACUGUGCAGAUCCUGGCCUUCUAAUAAAGCGGAGUACAAUGUCUCGACUUGCUUCAGAUGUGGUUGAGGAUGCAUUAAUGAGUGAAGAAGGAUGUGAGCUACUGUCAGAGACUCUAAAAAGUUUGCAGGUGAAGUUGAAGUUGCUGAAGGAUGGACCAAGUAAUAACGAAGUUGGAGGGUCCAGCUCUCAAACACAAUAUAUGAAAGACCCUAAGAGAGUGAGGUGCAAAGGAAGGUCGAAAGGAGUAACGGGAGCAAAGGAAAAGGCAAUGAAGCGAGGGAUUAGACACUGUCGGGAGUGUGGACACAUUGGUCAUGAUAGAAGACAAUGCCCAGCCUUGAACACACCGUAAGAUGCUAACACUAUUUGUAAUAACAUCUAAAAUAUGAAAAGGUAAAAUUUUUAUGUGCUUGUGUUUGAUGUUUAUGCAGGACAUCACCGUCGAACAAUGACGAAUCAACUCCAAUACAUCGUAGUGACCCAUUAUUCGACGAUUUUGACAGGAUGCACAGACCAACUGAAUGAUUGAUAUUUGUAUUAGACGAAAUGUGGUUGUUAUCAAGAUUAAUGAUCAAGCGAAGUUUUAUAGAUUCAGUUUUUGAAUGUUAUUGUGUUUUUGUUCAUGUCCACCGAUGAGCUCUUACUAUGUCCACUGGUAAUUGAAAUGAAAAUUUGCUUGGUUUCAUUCUUCCAAGACAUUUGGAGACAUGUUCAUUUUACGUCUUCUCCCUAUUUAUAAAUUUUCAUAGACAUUUGAUCAAGUAUGAAAUUUGUAGUUAUGUGAAGAAGCAAUGACUCUUACCAUGUUAAAUGGGCAGUUUAGGGUGAAAUUUGUUUUAACAGAGAUUCAUUUUUCAAAUCCUCAGGGUAAUGCAGCAAUUACAGCAGCCAGCUGUUGUUUCCAUUACCAGUAAUCAUUUCCAGCAGCAGCCACUUUUUCCGACUGGUUAUUAGGGGCACGAUUUUGUACACUUUUGUAAGUGAAGGAUACUCGAAGCACUUUGUUGGAACAGAGCAAAUAGAAACCAGCGGGUAAAAAAAAAACAUAACAUUGCAGCUAAUUACAUUUCGAUACAUAGGUGAAAAAUAUUAAAGGGUACACUAACUUACAUAAAUACUCAUAAUUCCACACACAAAAGAACAUUUGAUUGCAAAACAUAUUAUGUGCUUCCUCAUAGCAAUACCACGAUCUCCCCAACCAACUGAACAACGGUAGCCACAAUCACUGGGUCGUACUCGUCAGCUUCUUCUUAGCAGGUCUCACAUGCUUAUGGCCACUCAUAUCCCUAGUGAUAUACACGAAAUAAAUCUUCAGCAAUAUUUGGAAUUUUAUUAUAUAUAAAUAAACCAUAAACCAUUCAGUAAACAAUGUAUAGCACAUGUUAUGUAACUUAUGACUCACGUGUCAGUUUUUUUUUUAACACAUUAGUACUCCAGCUCUUUAAUGUAAAUGGACAUGAUAAGGAGCAUUUACUGAUUCCCGGCUUUCUGUGAUAUUGACUGCUUCUUGAAUAAUAUUUCCAUAUUUGCAAAAUAUAAUGUUAGACAUUAUAACACAUGAUGACUUGCAAUACAUAGUCCCAAUAAUUAUAUAUGAAGCAAAUGAAACUGAUAUUUGUGUUAUUUUAAGUUAGAUAAUGACAUUAAGGGAGUAUAUGUGCAAUACCACGGUCACCCUCAACCAACUGAACAGCGGUAGCCGCAAUCACUUAGUCGUAUCGGUCGGCUUCUUCCGAGCAGCUUUGACGUGCUUAUGCUCAUUCAUGUCACCCCCAUCGUCUAGUAUCUCUCUCACAGCAUCAGGGGACACAUAGUUCCAAUCAUAACUUGUAUGAGUAGUUGCCGCAAAUGCUCGGAAUUUGUCGAAUCCUUCGUUGAAUGCCAACUCCAGUUCAGUAUGGUGCUCUUCGCAUCGCAUAUGGUUCAUCAAACAACCUUUGAUUUCAUCAUUCAUUACUGUAUCCAACUCCUCAGCUUUCAGCUUCUUGCUAUGACUCAGCUUCAAGUACUUGUUCUUUUGGGAUAACGCUUUGUUCACCCUAAUGUUAAGAUCAGCCAAAAUUGCCUCGUCUUCAACACAUUUCUCGUGCCAUGAAUUGAUCAGUCUGGAAUUAUAAUCCAGCUUGCCACUGACUGCAUGUAUUGCCUGUAAUGGAUCAUCGGAGUCCCCCUCACUCCCAAAUGAUGUUGAAAAAGGAAGGGGUCGGCGAGUACAAUGUGGAAAUAGAACCUACGACUCCAAUUUCUCAUGUUCGAUUGUGUUGUUGGCGCCUGAAGAGGUUGACAUGCUUGAAUAAUCCUCUUUGUUUUGGGAGGAUGAGGAUUGCAUAUGCAAUUUCGUUUGAGAAAGGGAACAUAGGUUUAUAGACCAACAUACCAAAGCUUGUGUGUAGUCAACAUAUGUACUUUUUGGCGGGAAUUUUUUAAAAAUAGGUGUCAGGUUUUGCUUUUCAAGCAUGUCAACCUCACACUCUCCUGACACCACUGAUAGUGGUUGAAACAAAGUCAAUGGAAGUGACAUCUACUUAGUUAACUCAACCAAACUAGUUAGGAUUAAACUUAGAUUGUAUCAGACCAAAAAAUAAUUUCUACUUUGUCAACCAAAUAUUUUUUGGCGGGAACCCUUUUCUUGGUAUUACUAUCACCCCUUUCAUAUAAAGGGAACCCUUUUCUUGGUAUUACUAUCACCGAAUCUGUCUCCAUCUACCGAUACUCUCUCAAGCAAACAAACUCAUUCCCCCCAAAGAAUGAGCAUAAGCACAACCAAGUUUGAUGUGAGCAUAAUAAACACCCCUCCAAACAAAGACCGGCUUCGACACGCAAGUGAGUCACCAGACAAGCAAUGUCACAUUGCUAGACAGAAUGACCAUUUUGUUGGAAGUUUUGAGUCUGAAAGAGUUGUUGCUUUUUGGAAGGACAGGCAUCUUCAACUUGGUGAUGAAAUCCAAAGGGCAAGGGCACGGUUGGAAUUUGUGGAAGGCCAAAUUGAAGAUGACAAAAGGCAGGCCAAUCUGGAUAGGGCGAAGUUGCAGCGCAUGAAGCGUAGACACAAACGACUUCGGAGUGUAGCUCUUCAAAAAUACAAGAACUCAUCUAAUGCAGUGGAGUCAAAGAAGCGUGUGAUGCAAGCUGGAUUCGACUACUUCCGAUCCUAUGCAAAACUCGUCGUACCCGGGUUUGAUUGGUCAUCUAUUACCGUUUCCGACGUCACCAAAUAUACUCAGCAAGGGAAGUAACCAUUUUGGUUCUCGUGUUUGAGCAGAGGCAAAUAAGUGGAAUUGGAAUUUUCGUUACACUCUGCUUCAAAGCUAUUUUGAUGCUAACUACUAUGGAAGAUUUAAACCUUAAUAUUUUGAUGUCUUUAAUUACGAAAACAGAAGAUGCAAAGAGCCCAUCUACUUAAGUCAUAUGUUGCUGCCAUGUCCAUUUGUUUUUUAUCACGUAUCAGAUUUGGACAUGGUUGCAUCAUAUGCAAUGUUGCCUUUAUUUAUUAUAUGUUAGGACAAGGUUUAUGGAAAAGCUUUUGUGAGUGCGUUUGUGACAAGGUUAUGGAAUUAUUAUGUACACUUUAUAUAUUGUUUUUUGUACUGGUUCAUUUCCUACUAUUUCUUGCUUUCUUUAUAUUUUAUGUUUGUGGAAUCCCUCUCAAAGUUAACAUAUACUGUGAAAAAAAUAUUAUGCAACUGAUUAUAUAAUCACUCAUAUAGACUAGGACAAAUAUUCACUAAGGGUUUUAAAAUUGCUUCACUUGUGUGAGGUUAUUGAGAAAAAGUAUGGCAUUAUUUAUGUGAUUGACAUGAUUGAAAAUAUAUUACUGAUUCCCAAUGAGGCGUCAUAUGGACAACUUAUUGAAUACCUGUAACGUGUUAAUAACUCUAGGUGCAGUUGCAUGUGGAUAACUUAUUGAAUACCUCUGACGUGUUGAAAACUGUAGGUGCAGUUGCAUGUGGACAACUUAUUGAAUACGAACUGACGUCUUGAAAGCUAUAGGCGUAGUUGCAAUGAUGGCUUCAAAGCAUGUGCAAUUAUUAUUUAUGUACAUUAUUAUAACAAAACAUAUUAUUGUAUAUAGUGAAACUAAAUAUUGUAUUAUUAGAAAUUAUAUUUCGAAUAUUAUCCGAAAUAUACGUGUUAACGUGAAUUUGGGUUAAGAGGAAAGUGAGUUAUGUAUAAAUAAUUUUCAUUUUCUCAUUUUCUGGGCAUUUUUUGGAUUUUCGUACAAUUUAUUACCUAUGUCCACAGAUUGUUGCACUAAAAAAGCCAAAAUAAUAGCAAGAGGACACCUGGCGCGAUCUCAGCCCGUCACUGAUGACUACUUGCACAAGUGUACGUCAGUCAACAUGGCCACACCCUCCCAUUUUACCCUAAAUUAUUAUUUUAUUACUUUUCCUUACAAAAAUCAGAACUAAUUACACACAAAAAAAAAAAAUUAUCCGAAAAUUGCUACGAACUCAUUGACACUCCAUCUCCGUUGCUGAAUUCUCCGAUUCAUUGUUACGCAUUUUUAAAAUUAAUUCCGAACAUUAACGGGGGAUGCUUGUUGAAGUAGGUUAUUCAAGUUGAAGUUAACAAACAUCAAUACUUAGGGUUAAGAGGAAAGUGAGUUAUGUAACACAAUUUGGAUUAUUUCAUUGCGAGACGAAUGAUUUAUAGGUUCUCCUAGUUUUAUGACGUCACAAGUAGGCCGGAGUAAUUUUGGGGGCAUUUUUACGAUUUUCCUACUAUUUUUUACCUAGUUUCAAAGAUUUUUGAACAAAAGAAUCCAAAAUGUAAAAGAAGAUGACACCUGGCGCGAUCUCAGCCCGUCACUUUUCACUACUUGCACAAGUGUACGUCAGUCAACAUGGCCACAUCCUCCCAUUUUACCCUAAAUGAUUAUUUUAUUACCUUUUUUCUUGAAAAAUUCAUAACUAAAUACACAAAAAUUCAAAAUUAUUUCCGAAAAUUGCUACGAACUCAUUGACACUCCAUCUCCGUUGCUGAAUUCUCCGAUUCAUUGUUACGCAUUUGUAAAAUUAAUUCCCAACAUUAACGGGAGAUGCUUGUUGAAGUAGGUUAUUCAAGUUGAAGUUAACAAACAUCAAUACUUAGGGUUAAGAGGAAAGUGAGUUAUGUAACACAAUUUGGAUUAUUUCAUUGCGAGACGAAUGAUUUAUAGGUUCUCCUACUUUUAUGACGUCACAAGUAGGCCGGAGUAAUUUUUGGGGCAUUUUUACGAUUUUCCUACUAUUUCUUACCUAGUUUCAAAGAUUUUUGAACAAAAGAAUCCAAAAUUAACAAGAAUAUGACACCUGGCGCGAUCUCAGCCAGUCACUUUUGACUACUUGCACAAGUGUACGUUACCGAACAUGGCCACAUCCUCCCAUUUUACCCUAAAUUAUUAUUUUAUUACCUUUUUUCUUGGAAAAUUCAUAACUAAAUACACAAAAAUUAGAAAAACGAUCUGAAAAUUUCUACGAACUUAUUGCGAUUUCAUCUUCCUACUGCAUUCCCUGUUUAAUGGUUAUGCUACAUUAGUAUUUUAUUAUUAUUUAUCCACAAUUAUUAUAAUUAUUAUGAUAUUACUUUUUAGGCUGUCCAUUUGUUAAUUAUAUUUAGUCCAACUUGUUGAAAACAAUUUUAUUUUCCGUGCGAAUAGGCCAUUUGUAGUGCUCAUCGGUUUCUCUGUUCUUCAAUUUGUUAAUUUUUUUAUUUUUUAGGUUGAAGGGAUGUUUUGAAACAUAAUAUGGAAAUAUACAAGUCAUCCAUUGUACUCCUUCCACACAAAACAAUAGUCUACGUCAUUCACUGUUCAACCCCCUAGGUUAAGAAACGUGUAACCAAAUCCUUUUGGAUAUGCUAAGUGGGAAAAUGUCAUUCCCAAGCACUGGUGAAAAGACACCUAUUUACUCCAUGCAUGACUUUUCGUUUACCAAAUAUGAAGAUUGGGGUCGGUGAGCAAAAUAUCUGUGUCAGUAAAAUGUCAUUCCUAGCCGUCUAUGAUGUAAGUAAUCAUUCCGCUAUAUAAUAAAUAUUAUACAUUUAUAUAUAAAACGGUUUAUGACAAAAUACCAACAUUUGAACAACAUUUAAACUGAGCUAGGUAUAACGUAGCCAGCCAACCUAGAAGUGAAGAGAAGCAAGUCCACAAUGCAUCAAAACCGUAAAUUCGUACUAAAACUAAUGCAAAAAUACGUGAUUCCCUCGCACAACAUACUCACGCAGGAUUUUGCACCAAAAAAUACUCUCACGGUGCCAUUUGCAUCGGUUGCAACAAGUCCACAACGCAGGAUUUAUCUUGUCUUCACUAGGCCAGCCUGGAAUAACAAAAUACCAUUCAUUGUUGUUACAAGCGCUGCACCAAUUGAACUGAAUCUUCCCAUAGUCAAACAUAUCUACGAUAUGUCUUGCAACAAAUGCUCCGCGACAUCUUCCUGUCAAAGCAUCCCUGGUUCCUUUCAUAUCAAUGUUGUUACGUUGAUUCAAAGAACACAAGAAUUGUAAUGCAUCCUCUUUUGACUGACCAAUUCCGGACAUACCAAGUAGUCCAACUACAUAUGCCGCUUCCAUAUGGCCUGCCGUGGCUGCAAUGCGCAUCCCAUACAACGCUUCCACCUUACCGUGCCUGAAAAAACCUUGGAAUGCUUCUCUAAAUAUGGACUCAGGGUUAUCGCAAGCCCUGCAUUGUUGCAAGAAAUGCUGGACCGCAGGUCUGGCACGGUACCAGAUAGGAUGGUAUGGGUACUUUGCCAUUGAAAUGGUGUUCCACACUUGUGGACUGUUUGCCAAAGUUUGGAACAAUGGGCACACAGAUGCCAUACGGAAGAGAUCUUCCGAUGAUUCGGUUGCCACGUAUAACAUCACUUGAAACCAAGCGGACUCCGGGAUGAAGGCUUGGGGCAUAUCGAAAUGGAGAUGCUUCCUUCUCUUUCCUCCAACUGUAGUGAAGUGUUUCGAAUUCAUUGAAAAGUUUUUGGAAUGGAACGAUUUGAGGAGUGGCAGAGGGGAUAAAUGAGAAUAUUUUGGGUACACGUUUUGUUUUAGCCUCUGUUUAUAGUGUUUUGAAAAGGUGUUUGCAGUUGGGGUUUUUCCAAGUUGACCCUUUUUCAAGAAACUGAACCCAAGUGAAUUAAAACUGAACACAAAAGAAGGGAAAACGUCAUAACGGUGCAUACAGAGUCAGACAGUCAAAAAGUUCAUUAAAUGGCUAUUUGCAUAGCCAUUUGUGGGAUUAUCCCAGUAUCAAAUUCAUUGAUACAAAUGUGAUGGAUUACUGAGUAGUGACAGAAGGUCCCAUCAUAUACUUUUUCAUUUUCCCACACCCAACUACCCCUAGUAAUGUUAUUGAAAUGGAACCAAUAAUGACGGAUUCUUAUCCAACUAGUUGCCUUAAUGAAAUAUAUAUAAAAUAAUAAAUUUGAAGCAGUGUCCCCUCAUUUUUCCAAAAAUAUAUUUGGUAGUGAAGUAGUUUAUAUUGCUUUUCGGGCUAAAAGAUGUCGCAAUGCCGACGGUACAGGUGUCGACAUCGUGACCAACCCACCAAAUGAUCCCAAGAAAAAGAAAUAUAACUCGAUUUGGGCAGAGAUGAGAGAGAGCUGAGUGACAAGUUUAGGGUUAUGAGUGAAGGGGUAUGAAUGACAACUAUGAGUGAGAAGGUAUGAGUCCGAAGAGGUUUCAGUGAGAAGAUCUGAGUGAGAAGAGGUACAACUGAGAAGAUUCAACAUGUCUUCGUCUUCAUCUCCCGCUCAAACAAAGAGGUGUCAGUAUUGUGGAGCUACAAUGGUGCUUCGGGUUUCAAAAUCUGACAAAAAUCGAGGGAAGCCAUUCUGGAAGUGUCUAACCUCCUAUGUAAGUUUUAAUUUCAAUAAUAUGUAUGUGGGUCAAAAUAAACCCAUGUCUAACUCUGACAGAAUUAUAUUCCAUAUAUGAUGCCUGCAAUUAGGGAGCCACCAGUUGCAAUGGAUUCGAAUGGGUUGAUGUAACCUCCGCUGAAGCAGAACAUCAAGAUGACACGUAUGAUGCUAGAGUGCUGAACAUGCUGAAGUCCAUAAAGGACUUGGUAUUAGUUUUAUUAGUGUAUCAAUGUCAUUUAUUUGUUCUUUUAAUGAUCAUUUAACUGCACGGUUUAAAAGAUUGUGAAAGUUCUCCCGCACAACACAUGUUGCACGCACCACCAAUGAGACCAUUUUACCCAUUUUGUAAUAUUUGGUAACUGCAUGUAUUUCGCAUGUUAUAGAAACGAUAUUGAAUGUUUCUUGAAGGUUUAUUGAAGGUUUAUUGAUAGUUUGCUGCAUGUAUAUGGAAUAUCAUUGCCCCGAAAUUGGAUGUUUAUUGGGGCCACAGGUAUCACUCAAGUAAGAAUGAAGGGGGGAAACGGACCUUAUUCUUUCUUUUAGUAGGAAGAACAACUGUUAAGUUUAAUAUCCUAUUCAAUACGACUUCCCUAUGGUUGGUAUACUUGGGGACUGAAGUAGAUUGCAUCAUUAUUGUGGGCAAGGGCAUGUCUAUUGUGUGUGUUAAGGGAGUAUUGUGUGUAUAUUGCAUGUCUAUUGUGUGUAUAUUGCAUGUUUACUGUGUGUAUAUUGCAUGUCUAUUCUCUGUAUAUGGCAGGCCAAUUUUGUGUAUAUUGUAUGUCUGUUGUGUGUGUAUUGCUUGUCGGUGCGUUUGUGAAUUCUUGUUCAUUUUGUGUAUAUUGUCUAUGUUUCUACUUUUAUACUACUGAGCUGCCGAAAACCUUUCGCAUGUUUAGACACCUAUUAUGAUGCAACACAUUGCGAUUAAUGGUGGCUUGCAUCAACAAUGACAUAUCACUUUGCAAUGAUGUAAUACACUUAAAAAGCCAUCUUCAAAUCCCAAUUUACAUAUGCAGUCUUAAAAUUCCAAUUCAAUGCAGUUUGGUUAACAAACAUGUAAACGUCAUGAAGGAGUUAGCGGUAGAAUUCGAUAAGGACCCGUACGUCUCUAUUGUGUAUUUACAUUAGUUUGAGAAUGGACAUUCCCAAAACCUUCUCAUGUACCAUUUGUCAUCUUCAACCAAUAUCAUGGGAAGUAAGCAUCUCCCCUUGUUAUCUCCGCAGCCAAUUUCAACCGAAAAAAAGGCAUGUUGUGCGAGGUGCAAGUAGCUAACGGAAGCUUAGCGCUGAAAAGCUCAAUGUACUUUAACACAAACAUGCCACAAUCGCCUCUGAAGCAAAACAAGAACUCGAUCAAUUAAACUAAUGACAUUCUAACGUAAUUGACAAUUGAAAGUAAUAAAAUUAAAUUGCAAGUUGUGCUUACUCAUUAGACUGUUGUGGAACAUCCACACGCUCUAUUGGCCACGGACACCACCAAUCUCGGCUGCAAUUGUUUGCAUAAACACCUUCUUCAUAAAAGUCGAUGGUGUUGAGAAGAUUUGGAAGCGUAAUUGAUAGCGGGCCGAGUUCUUCCUUUACGAUGUCAUCUGGAAUUAGUGAAACCUUUGAAUCGUACACUUUGAUUUCACACAAUACCAGAUCAAUCAUUACAGCCACCCAAUGCUUGUACUUCGUCAACAUAAAUGGGGUAUACACCUUAUAGACGGUCUGCCAAUCCAACCCACACGGAGGAACCUUCCCAUUUACAACGUUUAGUAAACUUUUUCUGAUUUUCCACCCAAGCUGCUGUUUUUUUCUUUUAUUAUCCGCAAAGCAAGUACGAAUGUGAUUCUGUGAAAUACAAAACAAUCAAUGGUUAAACACCUCCACUAGUGUGUGUAUGGAAAAUGUGUAAUUAUUAACGGCACUUGGUCAAGGCCGAUGACAUACCAUAAAAAAAACAUCGGUCGUUGUCCAGUCCGCUACUUCUAUCGAAUCUGUCUCCAAUUGUUGUUGUCGUUUCCGGAUGAGAUACAACCCCAAAUCAAUGUGCUGCAACAUGUUUUUCUUGUCAAUCUCAUAAUGUAUGUACAUUAAAACAAAUGCAUAAUCAAUUACACUUACAUCUCCUUUCAGCCAACCAUCAGCUUUCACGAGGGAAGCGAAGAAUUCAAUCUCAGCUUCCACGUUGCCAAAUUGCAUCACCAAACUAUGAAUAUAAAACAGUUUUAGAACACUGUAUAUAAAAAAUUAUAUACAGUCAUGCUUCUAUCUUAUAAUUGCAAGGGACUUACUUUGGGUCAUGGCGCCAUUCCCAACAAAGUUUCAGCAAUUUCACCAGAUCAUCAUGCGGAAUCGCCUUCAUUGGGUCUAACAUCUUCAGUCCGGUUGUCUGUGCCCCAGUUUUUGGAACCAAUUCACUGCCUUCAACGAUCUUCCACAAAGGAAUGAUCCUCUUCCUUUUCCGUAAUUGGACCCCUUGUGCCAGAGCUUUACCUUUAUCAUUCAACCACACGUUCAACUGAGAUAGCACAGCUGUAGGUUCAUCCAAAUCAAUGUCCCCGACAGUAAACUCAAGCAGUGUCCCCUCCGUGCUCUCGCCAGUGUCACCCCCAAGCAACAUAACUUCAUUAUCUUCUUUCUCACAUUCGUUUCUUUGCACUUCCUUUUCCUCACUUCUUUGUGUUUUCACUUCCUUGCCCUCCCUUUUUUUCCUUUGCAAUUUCUCUCCCUUACUGCUUUUUCUUUUCACUUCCUCUCCCUCACUCCCCCGUCUUUGGGCUUCCUCUCCUUUGCUACUUUUUACUUGCACUUGCUCUCCUUCACUUCUUUUCCUUUGCCCUUCAUCUACCUCACUUGGUUUUCCUUGCACUUCACCCCCUUCAAUCCCCUCCUCUUCCUUUUCCUCUCCCUCAUUCCCUCCUCUUCCUUUUCCUCUCCCUCAUUUCUAUUACUUGGCCCUUCACCCCCUUCAAUCCCCUCCUCUUCCUUUUCAUCUCCCUCAUUUCUAUUACUUGGCCCUUCACCCCCUUUAAUCCCUUCAUCUUCCUUUUCCUCUCCCUCAUUUCUGUUACUUGGCCCUUCAUCCCAUUGAAUGUCAUCCAAUUCCCGAUAUCCCCUAAAUAGAUGUGAGACGACACAACGCUUCGUCCUCUGUUUCAGUAAAGCUAGGUCCCUCCUUACUUCCUGCUCAAACUGAGGACCUAAACAUUGGUCCAACAGUUUUUCCAUCCGUAUGACCUUUAAGUGAAGGACGUCUUUUUCCCGCUUUACUUGAAACAACUCGGACCUCAACAAGCUUACCACCUUGUUCAACUGAUCAAGAUCACCACAUGAAGAAGGAAUUGACUCUGCCGAGACAACAGCAGGGCGAUCCUGUGGCCAACUCCAAUAUGGCUGUCUCAUUUCCUCUUCACUCGGACAUAGCGCCCGCAACUGAACUGACUGUUUCAGAAUACAAACCACAGUCAUAUUAAAUCAUUCAACUUCAAAAUUUCAUUCAAUCUUAUCAAUAGUUCUAAGGGCUGCAAAACAAACCUGUUUGCUCUGGAAAAAAUAAUUGUUCAACUUUCUCAUCUCUGGAACAGACGUAGUAGUUCUCCAUCGCAAAAUACGCGGGACAGCGGUCGGAUCAACAACCUUGCAGUAAUUCAGGUCCACCAUUCUAGGAAUUAAUUCAUAUACCCAAAUCUACACAAUUCACAGGACAAAAGUCAUUAUUUAUGUUUUAAAUAAAAACAAAACAUAACUCACAUGAACAUUAUUACCAUGUACCUGGAAAGCAUACGUGAAACCUUUAAAACUCCAGCCACUCCUUUGCGCUUCACCACGCUUAUCCUUCCUGCCCUUCUCAUUUAUCCGGCUUGUUCCCGUUACCUUACUUUUCCCCUUCCCUCUUCCCUCUUCAUUUUGCAAGCUUUUCACAUACUUUGUUGGUGCAGAAAAUAGACUGUCUUGGGUUUUGUCAAAGGACACCGAACCCCACGGAUACCUGUUGAACGCAUCCAAGUCCUCUACAAGGGUCAGGUAAUUUAGAUUGAUGUUCAAAUGUUUGUCCCUUCCCAAAACCACUAACUCAGCAAAGUAAACAAGAGCUAGCUUGUAGAUGUCAUCUUCCUCUGUGCACCUCAUAAAUGCUUCUUCUAAAGCAUUGCAUGUAAUUCCUUCGUCUAUAAAAUAUCUUUUCUGAAGUCUGCUUACAUCACUCCCUCCACUGGAAACUUCAGGCACUUCCCCAAAACGAAGCCCUGUGAUCAAACAGAAAUCCUGACGACUGAACUGAGCAACGUCACACCCUAAUAAGAAACUCAGUCCAUCCAAGUCUUUCACACCCUGCCCCGCUACUCUACGCAACACAGCCCCAUGCACAAUCUGCCCGCUAAACUGAAUCUUAUCUAUAUUCAGAAGAUGGCCAAAGCAUGAUGUCUUGAAUUGUUCUAAUUGUUCCGCACUCAACUUCACUCGAAUUGCAGCUAGAGAUGAAUUUGCAUGUGAGCAGUUGUUCACCCGUGACGAAUAUGCCUCUGCCUCUGGCCAUACCAGCUCCACGUUGGAUCCCAUUUCCUGAAAUACAAUGUGAAAUAACGUGAACACAUAUACUACCACGUAUUUGCACAAUCACAACUAGUCAACCAGGCACAUUACAAAUUUUACAAAGUACAUGAGCAUACGGAUUACUGAUCACAAGCUUUAACAUCAUCAAAGCAAUAUGACAAAAUUUGUGCAAAUACCUGUUAAUGCAAUGAUUAUGUGAAUUACAAACAAUUUCACGUGUUUUAUUUAUGGAUCCAUACUCGUGUGAGUGCAAUGUAGGCACGUUCUGCACUUCACACACAUGACAAUUAUUGUCAUCUCAUACACAACACAAAAUAAAUAAAUAAGAAAUAUAGUGGAAGGAAGCAAAGCAAAGCAUCUACUCUGCUAUCUGCUUGCUAAGCAAUUGCCACAUCCUUCUUUCUUUCUAGCUUUUUCUUCAGUCACCCACAAUCGUCAUAGAUCAACCUUCAUUUCAAAUGCUUUGCACUUUUAUUCAUGAGUUUAUUAUUAUCUGUUCUCAUUUCUCAUAGGCAAAUUUAGUAACAAAUGAAAUCAUAUUUAUUUCACAAAAUAUAUAAAUUCUAGUGCCAGAGCGGUACUGUUCACUCUGCACUGCUUCAAAUGUGGAAGGUUUUGAGCGCCUCCUCCAAUUUAACACCAUUAUCUUAUUCAUAUCAUUACUGACAUGUUAUUGACAUGUUAUUGAGAUGUUAUUGACAUGUGAUUGACUCUAUUUUCAUUCGUUUUUUAACAUAUACCCAAGCAAAAAUUAACAUGCAAUUGAAGCACAAAUAAGAGAUGCCAAAUCCAACAACAUUGAUGGUACAAAUUGGGGAAAACAUUACUCUAACCCUAAACUCAAAUUCCUUAAAUUACUCAUCAAUUGCUUUGCACUUCUAUUCGUGAGUUUAUUAUUAUCUGUUCAAAUGUUUGUCAGGCAAAUUUAGUAACAAACGAAAUCAUAUUUACUUCAUAAAAUAUAUAUAUAUAUAUAUUCUACCGCCUCUUCUUCAUCUGCACUAUGCACUGCUUCAAAUGUGGAAGGUUUUGAAGGCCUCCUCCAAUUCAACACCAUUAUCUUAUUCAUAUCAUUAUUGACAUGUUAUUCACUUGUUAUUGACUUGAUUUUCAUUCUUUUUUUAACAUAUACCUAAGCAAAAAUUAACAUGCAACUCAAGCACAACGAAGAGAUGCCAAAUCCAACAAAAUUUAUGCUACAAAUUGGGGAAAACCAUUACUCUAACCCUAAACUCAAAUUUCAUAAAUUACUCACCAAAUGCUGGUUAUUGCAAGGGGUCUGUGUCGGGUCUUUCUGUUUCUUUGCUCCACAAAUGGAACUUACCACUUCCAACGAUUACAGCUUCUCCCCUUCCCCUUCCACUGCUUCACCCCUUCACUGAUUUGGAAUCCACACCUUUGCCCCUUCUACUCCAAAUAAAUACUUUUUCAGGGUCUGGAGAACGGAAUGGCGAAUCGUUGCCUUCAACUGUCGUUAGCCGUUGCCUUCAUUGGGUAUCUCAGACCUCUGGGUUUUAGAGAGAUGAGUUCUUUCUGUUCAAACUUCGAACUUGCCUCUUCUUCUUCUUUUUCGGACGUGUUUCCCUCUUCUUCUUCUUUUUGGACGUGCUGGAUAUUCAAUUCGGGUUUCGGUUCCUCACCUACCCAACUGUGAAACUUUAUCUCAAUUCUCCCCAGCCCUUGGAUUGAUCUGAUGGCUAUAAAGUGAAUCCCUUAUAACUUACCCCUUAUAACUUUCCACUCAUUGUAGUCUCGGCGAAGUUACAUUAAGGGAAGACAUUGCAUUUGCUCUGCAUUCGCUUCAAUAGCUUUGAGAUUGCCAACGAAUUGUUCAACUUCUUUCUUCACGUUCAAAACAAAUUACCUCUUCUUCUAUGAAUUAGUUAUUGAAGGCAAGGUUAACGAUAUUAACGACUUUUCUAGCUUAAGAACACACACCAAAUCAAAGUUACUCAAGGCAAACAAAACACAUCUUCUAAAGGAACAGAAAAACUGGGAACUGAUACACAAUAAAAUAAGAGAAAGCCAAACCCAAAUUCACCAGUUCCUCAAGAGUACAUUUUACAAAUUAAUGACACAAAGGGAGUUUUGCAAAUGAUCAAUACACCAGUAGAUUAGUUAAAUAUAAGGUGCUUACAAAACAAAAAAAUCAGGGCAAUCAUCAAGCUCAGUGGACCUUCCAAAUUCACCAUGUCUCUGUCAAGGCAGUGAUGAAAAUAAUCAAAAUUUCUGUUAUUGGAACUUCCGUAGGCUGACACUUGAUGAUUUACAUCACUCUAAUUGCUUCAAUAGGGUCCCUGAAAUGAUGACACAUACAUAGUUGAUCAAUUAAUUUGCUUCUAGCAAUCAUUUCUCAAUUCGGGAAUUAAAUUUUUUGAGAAACAACUAAAACAUGCAGAUUAAACAAAACAACAAACCACGUGUAAAUUAAUUUAGGGAGAUUCACUAAAUUAGGCAGAUCAAAGUACCUUUCAUACUCAUUUGAAAAAUCCUCUUCAUAGAAAAAUCAUGAUAUCAUAAAUGCAAACAAUUACUUACAGUUUUAGCGAGUCACCAUCUCAAGAUCAUUGUUGGAGUUCAAUUACCCGGAGGAAAUGCGGAUGUUUGGGAUCUUAGCAGAAAUCUUGGCCCGCUCUCCACUGCCUUCUUCGUAAUGCUCUGCAAGUCUCCGACAUUUGGUGAUGUCAAGAGUCCGCAGUGGUGUUUUGAAGAUGAAGUCUGGCAGUGCUUUUAGCAAUUCGCAGUCGCCAAUUCUUAACUCAGAAAGGCAUGGCAUGAUUGUAAUUUCAGAAUCUUCUUUGGUCCACUCUUCCACGCCUUCCCACUCUUCCCAAUUCGACAUGUGGUAAAAGUGGAGUCGUUUCAAUUUUGGGAAUAAUCUGAUUCUGAAUGAGGUUUGAUGUUCUAAUCUCAAAAAUUCAACACCGACCUUUUUCAUUCCUUCGAUACCGAAUAUGGCCAGUCUUUCAAGGCAUUCCAAUUUCCCAAGAGGCCAAAAUUCACACAGUGUCCCCCAAGCAACAGUAAGGAAUCUCAAAUUGUGUAAAGACUGAAUCCAAUUGGGCCACGUGGUGCCAUUAUGUUCCAAAAUCUCUAAAGAUUCCAAAUCUGGGUGCGGUCGUAAGGCAUUCAGUAUUUCUACACUACUACUACUACUACUGUUUGUCCGCCCUGCAAAAUUAACACGGAGAUUAAAUAGCUUUUUGUCCCACAAUUGUGCUUUCUCAACCUCGCUCUUAUCUGUCGCAUCCCCCCCAAGUUGUAUUUCCAGACUUCCCUCAAGGUUCAAGUUUCUCAGAUCCCCAAUUUGGAAUGCUUCAUCUUUGUCGCCACCCCAUGAACACGCAUCUAGUGUUUGCAAACUUGUUAAUCUCCCUAUCACUUUGGGGAACGACUCCAGAAGACCACAAUACUUAACAUAAAGAUGCUUUAAGUUAAUCAAGUUUCCCAUGUUUUCAGGCAGUUUUGUAAGGCCAGAGCAGUACAUAAGGCGCAAGGUUGACAAAUUGUACAAACCACAAAUAGUGUCUGGUAAUUUCUUCAGUAUAGGAUUGGAAGACAAAUCAAUAUGCCUCAAAUGUAUCAAUUCACCAAUCUCCUUCGGGAGUUCUUCGAUGGGAUUAAAACUCAAAUUUAAUGUCCUAAGACAUUUCAAUUGUAAAAUUAAAUUUGGGUCUAUGGUAGUAAUUCUUGAAUUAAAAGUUGCGAGCGUACGGAGAUUUUUGCAAUCGUAAGAUGAGAUAAAAAGUGGAAGUGGACCUUCAGGAACAUAUCUCAAGGUCAAAUGACGAACCUUAUCACCAAAUACCUUUGGUUCGCUGGUAGUUUCCUCACCAUGAUCGAUAAUCAAACACUCAUUCUUGGUGAAAAAUUGUACAAAGUCAUGCACAAUAUCAUGCAUUUUGCAACUGGUAAUGGUACCGGUGUCAAAAUCUUUCUCAAAAUCUUGGAAAAAUGACCGUGCCACUAAAUUGUCAAAAACUGCAUAACCCGUUGUUUCCUUUUCUUUAUUCCCUUUCGAAAUAACAUAGUCUUGUGCCAUCCAAAGUUUAAUCAAAUCAUCUCGUUCAAACUGGUAAUCUUUUGGAAAAGUAGCACAAUAUAAAAGGCAACAUUUAAUUGUUGGGGCCAAAUCAUUAUAACUUAGGAAUAGGGGUUGGAAAACUUCUUGCUCGACCUUCUCUAGAUCCCAUAUCUUACUAUGCAAAACUUCUUUCCAUUCUCCCAUUUUUGUCUUAUUCUGCAUGAGACUACCCAAAGUCUUUGCAGCAAGAGGCAAACCUUUACACUUCUUUACAAUUUCCUUACUAAUAUCUCCAAACUCAUGUACAUCCCUAUCCAAAAAGGCCAUGUGAUUGAAGAUUGACAAACAACAUUCAUCAUUCAACUCUCCCAGAUUGAUCUUGUUUCUUGUUGCUCUCAUCAUGUCAGCAACCUCAUGUUUUCUUGUGGUCACCAAUAUUCUGUUGCCUUUAGCACCAUUUUGGAUUAAUGGUACCUUUAAUUGUUCCCACUUUUUAGGAUCAUCGGUCCAUACAUCAUCCAGGACAAGGAGAAACCUUUUGCCCUGGAUGGAUGUACACAUACAUUGCAAGACCUCAUCCAACUCAUUUGAAUUUGGGGCGUUUUUACCAAUAAUGGCUUUGGCAAUCUUAAUCUCAUCAAAAGGGUCUGAAACACAAACCCAUUUCCUCAAAUCAAAAUGGGUUUUGACUCGGUCAUCAUUAUAGGCUAGUUGGGUUAAAGUUGUUUUUCCCAUGCCUCCCAUCCCGACAAUAGGGAUGAUAAGGAACCCCUUCCCUUCCGCACUACUAUCACUCAACAAGUUUGUUAUCAAAACCUUUUUUUCAUUUUCUCGACCAAAUAUCUCAGAUAUAUCGACAAAAGAUGCAGUUUGAGGUCGUUGAGGUUGUUGAGGUUGUUGAAUGCCUAAUUCUUUGCUUAGAAACUGGUACUUUUUUCUUUCCUCAUAAAUCUCAGUUAACUUAUCAUUCAGAUCUUUUAUUUUCAGAGCAAUGUCAUGGCGAAGAAUCACCCGACUGACUUUGCCAAGACGAAAGUAACGGGUGAAACUAGAGAAACGUACCUUCUUCUUUGUAACAAGAGCAUUUGGAUCACCUUCUCUUUCUUGCUUCUCAACUUGUUGUCUGAGAAUGUUUGUGUUCCACUCAUCCAGCACAUCCACCAUCUGGUAGGAUACAUCUUUCAGCUCAUCCAACCAGAUUUUGACAGCUUGAUCCGUCACUUGGCGUUGCUCUGCAUCCUCAAGCACAGCUUGAAUAACUCGGAGAGUCCGAGUGAAUUUCUUAACAUCUUCCUUAACGUUCAAAACAAGUUUCACCCCUCCUUCUAUGUAUUCAUAGGUUGUCGAGGCCAACCGUUCUAGCAGCACGUAAAUGAGCGCAUCAGCCAUUAUUUUGAGCUUCAGAAAAUGGUUGACAGCAGUGUUUAUGAACAAGAACUGAUUUGGGGAUAAUUGUUUGUGUUGUGGUGUUCCCUUUCUUCUGCCCAGUUUAUAUGCUGAGUAAGUCUUCAAGGCAAACUCCGAGUCAAUUUUUAAGAUGCAUAACAGGGACACUAUAUUUUAAAGUGACAUGUUGACAUAUUAUAAAAGAAAUAUCUAAUCUGGGGCUGGUGAAUGUGCCAGACUGUCUUUCUUGACCUUACCAUACAAGACAAGAUUAACGCCUUGUUAAGGCGUGGAUGACAUCUGGCUUAAUAAUUGAUCGAGUUUUUAUACAUAUAAACUUUUUCCUUAUACUGUUACAUGAAGCAUUACCUGAACUCUACCUACUUGAAUAAAGAAAUGUAUCAAAGAUUGGUUGGACAAUUGAUUUACUUGUCACACACACCUUGUGACAUAUACUGUGAUCUGAACAAGAAGAAGAGGAUGAGAUUUAGGGAUUUCAAGAGAAGAAGGAAGAGAGAAAGCAAGAAGGAAGAGAGCCCUGUAAACCUGUAUAUCUGAUUAGAUUGUAAGUGAAAAAUGGUAAAAGCACAGCUUUAGUACAGUGCACAUCUCCUAAUAUUACGCUAACAAACUUAACAAAUACAGCUCUCUCACUAACAGACUUAACAGAGAGCACGUGAGCUGCACAUGAUGACUUAACAAUUUCUUAACUAAAACACAUGGUUAACAUUUUCCCUACCCAGCUGAACUCCUCAGUCUAAGAUGAAGACAGUGUUGUAAGAAAAUGGGACUGUGUAACCCCUUUGUAAAAACAUCUGCUAUUUGUUCUUCAGUAGGUAUAUACUGCACAAUAAGAUCCUUUCUUUGUACCUUCUCUCUCACAAAGUGGAAGUCUAUAUCCAAAUGCUUAAUUCGAGAAUGGUAUACUGGGUUUGAGCUUAAAGCUAGUGCUGAUAAGUUGUCACAGUACAUAGUAGGAGCAUCUGGCAAAAACAUCUUUAGAUCCAAGAGAACCUGUCGAAUCCAUGACAAGUCAGCAGCUGUGUUUGCUAGGGCCCUGUAUUCUGCCUCUGUUGAACUCCUAGACACAGAACCUUGCUUCUUGGACUGCCAGGAGAUAGGAUUACAACCCAAGAAUACUACACAUCCGGUUGUAGACCUUCUAGUAUUGAUAUUCCCUGCCCAGUUUGCAUCACUGUAUGCAUUAAGCUGCCAAGGACCCUUUGUAAAACUGAUUCCAUACUCUAAUGUACCCUGUACAUAUCUGAGAAUACGCUUCACCAAAAGAUAGUGAACCUCAGUUGGAUUAUUCAUAUAUUGACACACAUGAUUCACAGCAUAAGCCAGAUCAGGUCAUGUAAAUGUUAGAUACUGUAGAGCACCUACGAGACUGCGAAACACAGUAGGAUCAGCCAAGGGCUCACCGUCAGUCUGUAACACUUGAGUGUGUGGCUUACAUGGUGUUGCACAGGCUCUACAUGAACUCAUGCCUGCUUUAUGUAGUAGAUCCUUGGCAUACUUAGUUUGACUCACGAAUAUGUCACCAGAGGAAUUAUAGGAAAUCUGCAGACCUAAGAAAAAGGUGAGUUGCCCCAUAUCUUUCAUUUCAAACACCUCACUUAAGUCUGUAACCACUCUUUGAAUCAACUGAUCACUCGAACCUGUUAUAAUGAUAUCAUCAAAAUAUAAGAGUAGAAUGAUAAUAUCAUUCCCAGUAUGCUGCACAAACAGACUUGGAUCUGAAUGUGAAGAUUUAAAGCCAAGAGUAGGUAAGUAACCUGUGAAUUUAGCAUUCCAUGCCCUUGGAGCCUGUUUAAGACCAUACAAAGAUUUUUUCAGUUUACAUACAAACUGUGGAUGAGUAGAAUCUUCAAAACCAGGAGGCUGUUUCAUAAAAACUUCUUCUUCAAGAUCGCCAUGUAGGAAAGCGUUCUUGACAUCAAGUUGUCAUAGUUUCCAUUGGUUCAUAGCAGCUAUGCUUAAUACUAACCUCACUGUUGUGUGUCUAACAACAGGAUUGAAGGUUUCCCCAAAGUCAAAACUAGGCUCUUGACUGAACCCCUGAGCAACAAGUCUGGCCUUAUAUCUACCCACUGAACCAUCUGGAUUUCUCUUUAUUUUAUAAACCCACUUACUACCAAUAAUAUUUUUUAUCACCUGGACUAGGAACUAAGAUCCAUGUGCCUUGCAUAUGAAGAGCAUCAAUCUCCUCUUUCAUAGCUUGCCUCCACUCAGAAGAAAACGAAGCCACCUUAAAACUAGAAGGCUCAUCUAAUUCCGGAAUAGCAUGAAGACAGGUAAAAUAACCUUGAUAAUCUGGGAACUCUUUGUUUUGAACUAUACCACUUUUGGCCCGAGUAAUCAUAGGAUGAUCAUUGAUAGGAAAUAAAGAAACCGAUGAGUCCACAGUACUAACAGAAGAAGAGGAAACAUUAGAGACCUCAAACUGAAACAUAACCUGUAAUUGUUGUUCAUUCAACACAGGUACAGAACCUGCAGAAGCCACUGGAAUAUCAUCCAACGAAGCUUGAUGUUGGAUAGGAGAUAAAGACCCAGGAGUAGAUGAGAUGGACUGAGAUUGAGAAGUAGAUACUUGUGUAUCAGAGGCUAGAGACGAUGGAUCCUGAGAAUUAAGAGAAGCUUGAGAAGGCCUUGAAGCCAAAGAAACAAUGACAGAAGCUACUGAUGCAGUAGAAGAAAACUGAGAAGACUGCCUACAUAUGCUAGGGUUAAUGUGCUUAAAAGGAAAUACAGCUUCAUCAUGAGGAACAUGCCUUGAGAUUACACAUUUUGCAGUAAUUCGAUUGUAGCAAAUAACUCCUUUGUAACCAGGUGAAUAUCCCAAGAACACGCACUGAGUGGUUCACGGUUGUAACUUAUGCACAUUAUAAUGUCUUAGAUACGGAUAUACCGCAGUACCAAAUAUUCUCAAAGAAGCAAGAUCAGGAUGAUGACCAAAUAAACGAAAAUAAGGAGAUUGAUGAUGUAAAACAGAGCUGGGCAUUCGAUUUAUAAGAUACACAGCAUGAGCAGUAGCAUGAAACCAAAAUUGACCUGGCAAGGCUGCUAUAGUUAACAGGGUAAUGGCUGUUUCAAUAAUAUGCCUAUUCUUCCGCUCUGCCAGUCCAUUUUGCUGCGGAGUAUACGGGUAAGACAAACGACACACAAUUCCCUUGGAAGCCAAAAAAUCUGUAAAAACCUUGCUAAGAAACUCACCACCACCAUCACUCUGAAAACACUUAAUAGCAGCACUGAAUUGAUUUUGUAUCAAAGCAUGAAACUGUAGGAAUUUGGAGAAAACUUUUGAUUUAUUGAAAAUGGGAUAAACCCACAAAUAUCCAGUACAUUCAUCAAGGAAGAAAACAAAAUAUCUGUAACCUUCAACAGAUUUGUAAUGGGAAGGACCCCAUACGUCACUAUGAACGGUAUGAAAGGAAUUUCAGACCUACAAUGUCUAACAGGAAAUGGAAGCCGAUGCAUCUUCCCUUGAAGACAAGCUGAACACAAGGGAUUCAAAUUGGAAGAAUCAUUUGCACAUUGCAAACCAGAGGCUUUAAGCAUUGAUUGCACCACUUCAUUCGUUGGAUGGCCAAGUCUGUGAUGCCAAAUGGACGACUUAACAUGUUGACCAAGCAAAGCCACUUUCUUGGAUAGGUAAUGAGACCUAACCAAGCGUCACGAGCAGUCGUGGUGCCAAUAACAUACUCAAUGGCCUCAUCAGAGAGAGUGGCAAUGAGCAAACUGAGUAAAGCCUUAUUAGCGAGAAUCCAUUCCUUGUAAGCAGCAGUAACUUCAGAUGUAACACCCUCCUCAUCAACAAUAGCAAAGCGAGGAACAACUUCAGUUCCGUCAAAAUGCCCAAACAGAUCAUAACCCUGAAGAACAGAUUCCAAUUGAAAACUCCACUUGAGAAAAUUAUCGUCCCUGAGACGACGAGUAAUCAUCCCAAGCAAACCGUCAACUUUGACCGAAGAGGAAGAAGAAGAAGUCGCCAUUGAUGAACAGAAAUUAGAGAAAAGACAGAAAAAAAGAAGGAACAAUAGAGACAGAGCAAGAGAAGAGCACAGCGAGGAGACAGUUCAGAAAAAUCAGAAGCGGAUCGAAAGUGUCAAGCCACGAUGGGCUCUGAUACCAUCUUAACAAGAAGAAGAGGAUGAGAUUCAGGGAUUUCAAGAGAAGAAGGAAGAGAGCCAUGUAAACCUGUAUUUCUGAUUAGAUUGUAAAUGAAAAUUGGUAAAAGCACAGCUUUAGUACAGUGCACAUCUCCUAAUAUUACGCUAACAAACUUAACAAAUACAGCUCUCUCACUAACAGACUUAACAGAGAGCACGUGAGUUGCACAUGAUGACUUAACAAUUUCUUAACUAAAACACAUGGUUAACAUGUGAGUGUAGUUUAGUCAGUUCGUGCAUGUUCCCAGUAAAGAUCAUGUAAAUGAUGUAAGUCAUAUACUUAGAUAUUUGAAGUUAGCAACAAGAAAAUGACUUAUGUUCUCUAAGCAUGGGCAUUUAAAUGUGGAAAAGGUACACCGAUGUUGAUUGGGCAGGUAGUAUCAUUGCCAUGAGCUCUACAUCAAGUACAUUGGUUGGAGGUAAUUUCUCACUUGGCAUAGCAAUAAGCAAAAGAUGGUGGAAUACAGAAUAAUGGUACAAGGAAUCUAUGAACUAUUGUGAUUGAUAAUGUACAAAAUAAUGAUCGUACAUGUUGAAGCGGUAGACAUUUCAUUAAAAAAAUGAAGACAAUUAAUAUUCCAUUUGUGAAGACUAAAGACCAAUUAGUCCAUAUUCUGUCCAAGACAAUUAAAAAAAAAUAAGGUGUGCUACAACUCAUUGGUCAAGUUGAGGAUUGGAGGUAUGUGUUCACCAAUUUGAGCGUGAGUGUUAGUGUGAAUUCUAAAUAUAACCUAAUUUGUAGUCUCCUAUUUGGACUUUAUUAGGUUUAAUUACUUUACUUAAGGUCCACUUCUCGUAAAUCCUAUUUGUAACUAGGAGAAGAAUACAUAUUUGAGAGUUUUAUCGUAUUUGUUUCGACACCGAAAUUUUUUCUUAACGUAUGCACCUAAGUGAAACUCAUUCAGUUUUGCUCCAAAAGGAUUCCGUUGUGGACAUAAACCUUCUUGAUGAUUAUUAAACCUAAGUAAAGAUGAAGAUUAAAAGUAUAUUAAAUCAAUCCCAUUCAAAAUUUAAUCAACAAUGUUGUUUGUGCAAAUAAUCUCACGGGAGAAUAUUCGCUUCUAGAUCCCUCAACCUUCGACCUUCCUUCUCUCUCUUCCUCGUUUCCUGUAAAAAAGAUUGGAGUAAAUAGACCACACCUGGGGUGUGUUGGCCAAAGACCCUCCGAUGCCUAAGUUAGUUCGAGUGUUUGUAGGAAAACAAUAGCUAAGCAAAGGGUACGGAGUUGUAUGUAUGGUGUGAACCGGGAAGCCGAAGCCAUGUGUGGUGGCCGGAGCCGUGUGGAGAAAAUAUGGAGAGUGGAGAGGGAGAGAGAGCUUCAGGUAUUUUUCUCGGGUAUUAGGAGUAGGUUUAGAUGUACCUUGAAUGAUGAAUGAGGUCGUCUAUUUAUAGGAGCCUCGGGGGUAGGGUUUCGUAGAGAUCGAGUCGGACUUGAUAAUAUCCGAAUUAAUGAUAUUAUCUCUUAAGAAGAUAAUAUCUGAAUUAAAUGAUGUUAUCUUCUCUUUAUUAGGAUAAUAUCUGAAUUAAUGAUAUUAUCUCUUUAAAUAAAGAUAAUAUCAUAUUAAUUAAGAUAUUUAUCCCAAUUAAUUAAUUAGCCAGAUAAACUGGUUUAAUUAAUUAAUUUAAGAGAUAAUCUUCUUUUCCACGUGGUGUGCCCUAAUUGGAGACGAAAAUAUAUGCUCCCACAAAUGCCCCCCAGCUUCUGCGUAGCGCUUGUGCGGUAGGUAGGAGAUGAAAUUAUUUUUUUCGAACUCUCCAACUUUGUUUGGGCUUUCUUCUGUGAGUUGGACUCCUUUUGCAGAUCGGAUUCUCAAUUGGUGUAGGCUUCUGACUGUAGUUGGAGUUGGAUUCCCAGUAGGAAUGAGCUUGCGAUUCCUUCUUGACCCGGGUUGUCCAACUUGUAUAAAUACAUGGCUUCUCUUCACUCUUUCUCACAUCGCAAACUUAAUUUCUCUACUUUCUAGCUUGAGAAAGAUAUUGGAAAAUUUUGUACUGCUUGUCGAAGAGAGGAGUUGCCGUGCAUUCCAAGAUAAGUCGAGCACGUAUAUAUUUUCUUCAUCUUCUCUUUUUUGGGGUGAGGACCAGCUGGGUAGGACUAGGCUGGUUGACGUUGUGACUGGCGGUCAAAGACGGUUGGAGCGGCGGUGGCCGCUGGUUGCUGCUGAGCGAGUAUCGAAAAAAGUUGGUGGUCUGCCCCCUGCCCAAGGUGUUGAGAGAUGGAAGCAGAAUGGUCUAGUCUCUAAUGAUCUGCCGGCUGGGUAGGAGGAGUGUUCUGCCGGACCCCCAUAAAAAAGGAAGGCUGAUGUCAAGUCUUCAAUAAAUGAAGCUGCGACUUCGCGGGCGAAGGAUGUGUCACCGUUAAGAAGAAGCCAAGGAUUCCUUCUGUUGAGAAGAGUCAAGUAGGAGUUGUUCCCCCGUCGUCAGCUAGGGUUAAACAUCUCGUUGGUGCAGAUAGUAAGCAGAUUGGUGAUAUGCGCAAUAUUCGGGAUGUUCCACUCAAGCCUCCUGCAGACAAGCUUGGAGACCAUGAUCUGCUUCGUAAAGUAGUCCGUGCGCGAUCUAGUUCACCUGCUGUGAGGCAAUGAGAUGCAGAUAUUCUUCUUCGAAGUUCGGUCUUUUGCACCAGUUAAAGGAUGAAGGUCGAACUGGGAGGUCUUCUCAUCUACCCAACCGUCAUGAUCCAGUAGUUGAGUCACGAGCAGUCAAGUGUGGAGUAGAUUCAGCGUCGUUGGCUCAUUUGGAAGUGAGGACAGCGGCGACCAAGAAGAUGAAAGAGUCAUCUGCCCGGGUCGAGGGCUCUUCUGCAACGUCAGCGACUAAUCCGGAAGUGGACAAAUCCGCCCUUGCAGGGGAUGCAUGCAUGCCUGAUCUGCUUAAGACGAACUUUCUGUCAAGUCCAUCCACUUGUGCUGAGCUGGUUAAUCAAAUCUGUCAGCUGGCGAUCUUGGUCUUUUCUCAAGUCUUUUCUUGGAAAAACAAAGGGAAACAACAUUUCACAUGCUUCAAAAAAAAGGUGGUGGAAGAUGUCGCGAAUCAGGCAGGUGGAGCUGCUGAGAACGUGGCUGAUCAGACGGAUGUGGAAGAGACUGCAGAUCAAGGAUCUCUUGCUAGCGUCUCGGAGUAGAUGAAGACUCAUUUAUUUCUUUUCAGCUUUUGUAGUCUGCUCUCUGUUUAGAAUAAUCGGUCUUGUUUGACCAUCUUCUUUUUGUUGAACUUGGCCGGUUGAUCACUUUGCUAUGGAAAUUUCAGUUUUUUUUUGUUGAAUAACUUCAAUUCGCAUAAUGUCUUGUGAAUUGCUUGAGUGUUUCUGAGUUGUGGCAUGUUUAGCCUACGUCUAGAGACGUGUCGAUGAGAGUGGCCUGUUUGACUUACAUCAGGAGACGUGUCGAUAAUAGUGGCAUGUUUGGCCUACGUCCGGAGACGUGUCAAUGUGUAUAACUCGUUUACGUCUAGAGACGUGUCGAUGUGUAUGACCCGUUUGGCCUACGUCCGGAGACGUGUCGAUGAUAGUGGCCCGUUUGGCCUACGUCAGGAAACGUGUCGGUGAGAGUGGCCCGUUUGGCCUACGCCCAGAGACGUGUCGAUGAGUGUGGCCUGUUUGGCCUACGUCCGGAGACGUUCGAUGAGUGUGGCCUGUUUGGCCUACGUCUCGUCAGUAGACGUGUUGAUGAGUGUGGCCCGUUUGGCUUACGUCCAGAGACGUGUCGAUAAGUGUGGCCCGUUUGGCCUACGUCAGGAGACGUGUCGAUGAGAGUAGCCCGUUUGGCCUACGUCAGGAGACGUGUUGAUGAGUGUGGCCUGUUUGGCCUACGUCAGGAGACGUAUCGAUGAGACAGUGGCCCGUUUGGCCUACGUUUGGAAACGUGUCGAUGAGUAUGACUCGUUUGGCCUACAUCCGGAGACGUGUCGUUGAGAGUGGCCCGUGUGGCCUACGUCCUGAGACGUGUCGUUGAGUGGCCCGUUUGGCCUACGUCAGGAGACGUGUCAAUGAGAGUGGCCCGUUUGGCCUACGCCCGGAGACGUGUCGAUGAGUGUGACCCGUUUGGCCUACGUCCAGAGACAUGUCGUUGAGUGUGGCCUGUUUGGCCAACGUCCGGAGACGUGUCGGUGAGGGAGGCUUGGGUGCCUGCUUAGAGCCCAGCUGAUAGGUGAAGAGUUUUAUGGAUAGUCCCCUUGGAGGUGAUGGGCAUUACAUUGCCUUGGAACUUCCUUCCCAUUGAAAGAUGAUGAAAGGUUUUUCUUCCAUAAUUUGGUAGCUAGUGACCGCUUGGAAGACGAAAGUUGCCUGCUUGAUCUUUCUCUUCUGCCCCCUGGUGGUCAGCCCGGGCUCUUGGAGUCAGCUAGGAUCGUGUUGAUCCAUAUGGCUUUUUUCGUGGAGGCUCAUUGUUAGUUGCGUCACAAUCCUUGAUUUGCUGGAUAGCCCCCCUUGAGAUGAAUUCCAUGCAAUGGCCGUCUCUGACUAGAUCUUCGAGGUGCCUUUUUCGAGCGAAGCAGUCGUUUGUGUAAUGACCGUACCCUUCAUGGAAUCUGCAAUAUCUACUAGUAUCCUUCUCGGUUAGGUUUCCCUUUAAAGGUGAUGGUUUCUUCAACCAAGGCAUGUCCUUUACUUGGGCUAGGAUCUGGUGUAUCGGGAUAGUGAACUUGGUGUAGCUCUCUGUUGCUAGAGCACAUUCCUGAGGCUGUGAUCUGUGCUUGCCGUUCUCUUUGCUUGCCUGCUUAUUUGCUUGAUCAGCCUUCUUCGCGACAAUCUGGUCGUCGUCCCAUAGUGUGUAGCGCUCUGCUGUAGCAAAGACUUCUAUCAAUGUUUGGCGGGGAGAGAUGGUCAGCUCGCGAUACAGCUCACAUUCAAUUGGCAACCCCCUCUUGAAGGCGGAGGACGCAAUUUGGCCAUCACAUCCUACAAUGUUUGCCCUCUCCGCUUUGAACCUCUUGAUGUAGUCUCGGAGGGAUUCAUCGGACUUCUUGUGCAUGUUAGAUGGUCAGGGUUCUUCUUGAUCGUCCGAUAAGAAGUGUACUCUUUGGUGAAGACAUAUGCAAGCUCCUUGAAGCUGCUGAUCGACUCGGAUAGCAGGGUGUGAAACUAGUCCUGAGCUGCUCCUCGCAAAGUCAUUGCAAAAACCUUGCUCAUUAGCGCAUCUUUAGUUUUUUGUAGGAUCAUAAGGCUCUUGAAAUGCUUCAGAUGGCUUUCGGGAUCGGAAUCCCCUUCGAAGCAUGUGAAAGAGGGCGUUGAGAAUCGUUUCGGGGGAGCAGCUUGCUCGAUUUCGGUGGUGAAAGGUGAGGAGUUUGCUUGGUCUACCUCCAUGCGUAGUGCAUCUUCGAAAUUUUCUCCAAUCUUUAAGUCUUGAAGUCGGUUAUUCACAAGCUUCUCAACGUCUUCUGCACACAUGGCUGGUCGGCCACGUUGAUGACCUUUACGAUUUGGGCGAGGCUGAUUAACUUCCUCGUUGGUUUGCAAGGGUCGACUUUCUCGGUUGCGCUGCCUAGACGGCGUGUUGGUGGACUACGUUUGUGAGGAAUUUUCUGUAACUUGGCGACGAGAAGUGGUUCUUCGAGAGAAAGUAGUAAAGCGCAUUUCUUCACUGUUCUCAUUGUGAUGAUUAUCAGUUUGACCUCCUUGGGGGCCUAGGUGGGCAUGGAUGCCAAGUUGUGGGCCUAACAUAUUGUGCACGUUGGUCCUUAAAUUCAAUCUGGAUGGCAGACUUCGUCUGCUCUGAGUGUGGCUUGCGGAUGCUUGCGACAUGUUGGCGAGCUGAUUGCGUUGUUUUGCAUUUCCUUGUCUGCUUACUCUUGCUCGACCUGCUUGGUUCCCACCGAACUGCCUAUCGGUGCGUUCGUUCAUCCUUCUCUCUUCGCCCUGUUGUCCAACGCCAAGGUUUUGAGCCAAGUUUAUUUGAUUGAGGAAUUGCCUCAUUAAAUUGUUUUGGUCGUCCAUUCUCUGAGUUAGCUGGUCAACUCUCAGAUUAAGGUCUACUUGACUUCGUGGAUCGGGAGGAAAGAAAUGUGUGGAGCCUAAUUGCACACGGGCUAGGGUUUCAUUACAUGUGUACGUGGGUGCGCGUGUCGAGCGUGGAGGCAAUGGAGGGAAUGCUUGAAGUUGCUCCAAGAUUGGGCCAAAGUCGGCGGUGGUAGUGAGCCCACCUUGAUGCGAGGUUCCACCAUGCUCAACGGCGGUGCUAUGAAGGUGGCUAGAUCCGGCCACGGGGCCUUGAGAUGGUACGACGGCGGCAGAGGCCGGUGCGGUGGCCCUCGCUGCGAGUCUGGCAGGUGGCACGAUGAUUCCAGUCACACGGGGUGGCUGCUGAGGGUUCAUGGUGGCGAGAGGUGGUGGAGCCGCCAUGUCGAUUGUGCGAUCGUGGGAAGAGUAGCUUUGGGCCGUCACGGAUUGAGCCAUCGCGGCGGUCUUACUCUUCAUGCACUUGCUUCCAACCAUGGUUGUUUGGAAGGCUUCGGUGGAUUGGAAAAUAGGAGGAACGGAUUCCUUGAGCACGUGUUGAGUAUAACUCGUGCUCUCAACGAGAGCACCAAAUGUUUGUGCAAAUAAUCUCACGGGAGAAUAUUCGCUUCUAGAUCCCUCCACCUUCGACCUUCCUUCUCUCUCUUCCUCGUUUCCUGUAAAAAAGAUUGGAGUAAAUAGACCACACCCGGGGGUGUUGGCCAAAGGCCCUCCGAUGCCUAAGUUAGUUCGAGUGUUUGUAGGAAAACAAUAGCUAAGCAAAGGGUACGGAGUUGUAUGUAUAGUGUGAACCGGGCGGCCGGAGCCAUGUGUGGUGGCCGGAGCCGUGUGGAGAAAAUAUGGAGAGUGGAGAGGGAGAGAGAGCUUCAGGUAUUUUUCUCGGGUAUUAGGAGUAGGUUUAGAUGUACCUUGAAUGAUGAAUGAGGUCGUCUAUUUAUAGGAGCCUCGGGGGUAGGUUUCGUAGGGAUCGAGUCGGACUUGAUAAUAUCCAAAUUAAUGAUAUUAUCUCUUAAGAAGAUAAUAUCUGAAUUAAAUGAUGUUAUCUUCUCUUUAUUAGGAUAAUAUCUGAAUUAAUGAUAUUAUCUCUUUAAAUAAAGAUAAUAUCAUAUUAAUUAAGAUAUUUAUCCCAAUUAAUUAAUUAGCCAGAUAAACUGGUUUAAUUAAUUAAUUUAAGAGAUAAUCUUCUUUUCCACGUGGCGUGCCCUGAUUGGAGACGAAAAUAUAUGCUCCCACAAAUGUCUCAUAGACCACAUACAUAUCCACCCACGCAAACGUAGUGGUUAUAUGAAAUGAAAACUUAUCUUUGGCUAUAUGAUAUCCCACAACUUUCUUUUCCUCUCUUCUCUUAUCUUUUCACACACAUAUACAUUUAUACUAUAUAUGGUACAAUAAUUAGUAAUAUUUGGGUUAAUUCUAAAUUAGGGAAUGUAGGAAACAACUACUAUCUUGCCUUGGACAAUUGUAUAGCUUCUUGAUCAUGUGUAGACUCUUCAGCCCAGGCAAACUGGUGAUGAGACAGGAGUGAGAAUUCGCGAUUCCUUACAUCCUCAAGCUGCUCCCACUCUGCCCAUCUCUCUGCUAGAUCCACUCCCUGCAGCAAUCUAAUGACCAUAGCACCAUUUCAUGAUAAAGACAUUAUCAUACAGCUUUAGUGCUGGAACUCUCUCAAACCUCUUAGUUAGAAUUCUAAAUUUUUAAUGGGCUGGUCAGCCCAGUCCUACACCAACAGUAGGGGUGGGCGAAACCAGAUUGAACCAGACCGAACCGGCUAGUUUGAUUAGGAUUUUGACAAAAAUUAAGGUCAUACGGUUCAAAACCCAGCUCAGUUCAGCUGGUGGUUUCAAUUCCCUCAGGAACGAGAGAACAUAACCGAAUCAUUUCCCACUCUUUUUAUUAAUUCCGCCCGUAUCCCUCCUAUAAAAUCAUCUUUUUCCCCUAGCUCUAGCCACAUAAACCUAUCUCUCCAGUGAAGGAAGUAAACAAAGACAUCCUUCGCAUAACUCCUUUAGCAUGCAGACAAACACAAAACAAGGAUGUAUUUAAAAAUAAUAUAUAUUAUAUGAGUAUGAUAUAUAUAUAUAUAUAUAUUUUAGUAUGAUAUAUAUAUAUCCAAUUUUCUAUAACAGGUUAACCGUACUUGAGGAUAAUCAAGGUCGCCCGGCCAGUGCAUGUUGGUAAACUGGCCGUGCAAAAUCUGAUUAUCCACUAGUGUGGUUAACCAUAUUAUAGAAACACGGAUAUAUAUAAGUAAUCCCCAUUAACUCUCUUACAAUAAGAAUUCGUACUUAUUGCUGAUGCCAAUACAUCAAUACAAGGGAAUAUAAAAGGAAAUGAGAAUCAGAGUUUAAUGGGAUUUACUUGAAUUUUGGAAUUGUAAAGAAUUGCAUUGGAACUCUUCCGGUUAACUCAUUCGAUGAAAGAUCCCUGCCCAAAAAAAAAAGGAAUUUAUAAAUGGUAAAGAAUAUCACACAGUGUGCAAGCUCAGAUGGGCAUGCAAUUAUAUUUAGGCAAUAAGUCAAACAGCAGGAUUUCGAAAAAAAGGAAUUGCUUACAGUUCAGUCAACCCGCUAAUGUUUGAAAGUGAAUCCGGAAUAUGUCCAGAUAUGUGGUUACUGUUGAGAUUUGGAUUGUCAAGGGAGCUAGAGAGCAAAAGACUAAGAGAGGGAGAGAGAGCCUGAGCAAGAAGGAAUCAAUAUGGUUAUGACCACUACUCCUCUGCUUAUCCGUUGCAGCAGAGCAGACUAUAUUCAUACCCAAAAUGUGUUCUUACAUCAGCAAAUACAAUCUAACCGUUGUGAAGGAUAAACCAAUGUGAAUAUGACACAUGGCUUUACAAGCUUUACAACCGCUGAAAUAAGAGAGACAAUCCUAAGCCUUACACUUGGCAUAUGAGCUCAAGGUGCUCAGCUCACAGAUGACUUAAAUGGACUGAAUAUAAACUGACUAAGUACUUACUAACUAAUCAGAAAUAGCUAGGCAGUUUACAUUUUAACACUCCCUUUCUAAAGUGCUAGCUGAUUUCACUCCAAGCAUAUUCCUCAAAUAGCUGAACCUGUCUUUGGGAAGUGCCUUGGUGAAGAUGUCAGCAAUUUGCUCUUCUCCUUUGCAGUAGAGCAGCUCAAUCACUCCUUCUUGGAUUGCUUCUCUAAUAAAAUGGAACUUCCUCUUAAUAUGCUUGCUCCUUUGAUGAAAUACAGGAUUUUUAGCCAUUGCUAUUGCUGAAGUGUUGUCACGGAACACAGUUUUUGCAGCAGUCUGUUCUUCCCCAAAGUCUUCAAGAACAAACCUAAGCCAAAUGGCUUGUGAUGUAGCUUCUGCUGCACUCACAUACUCUGCUUCUGCUGUUGAAAGGGCCACACUAUGUUGUUUGACUGAUGCCCACGAAAAUGCACCACUUCUAAAUGAAAAUGCAUAUCCGGAAGUGCUUUUCAUAUCUUCCUCUGAUCCACUCCAGUCACUAUCACAAUAUCCUACUAGAAGUGCAGACUUUCCAGUCACAUACUCAAUUCCAUAAUCAAUUGUGCCUUGUAUGUACCUUAGAACUCUUUUGGCUGCCCCAUAGUGCAUCUUAGAGGGAGUGUGCAUGAAUCUUGCAAGCAGGCUAGCUGAAAACAUGAUAUCAGGUUUGGUUGCAGUUAGAUAUAGCAAGCUUCCUACAAUUUUUCUGUACAAGCUUUCAUCUGCUGCUUCACUUCCAUCUUCUCUUUGCAAUUUAUCAGUGGCAACUAAUGGAGUGCUCACUAAUUUGCAAUCCUUGAGUCCAAACUUAUCUAGGAGAGUGAGUGCAUACUUCUUUUGAUGGAUGAAAAUGCUCCCUUCAGUUUGUGUUACUCCCAUACCAAGAAAAUGAUGGAGUAAACCCAAGUCAGACAUUUCAUACUUGCACAUCAUCUCAACCUUGAAUUCUUUCACCAUUUCAUCACUGCUUCCAGUAUAUACUAUGUCAUCUACAUAGAUUGAUAUAAUUAAUGUUCCCACACCUUCCUUGGUUCUCACAUAGAGAGUUGCUUCACUUGGACUUCUGUGAAAACCACACUGAUAUAAGUAAGUGUCGAUUUCACUGUACCAGGCCCUUGGAGCCUGAUUUAGUCCAUAGAGAGCUUUUCUUAGUCUGUACACCUUAUCCUCAGCUCCUUUAAUCACAAAGCCUUCAGGUUGAUCCACAUAGACUUCCUCUUCAAGAACACCAUUUAAGAAAGCUGAUUUGACAUCCAAUUGCCAUAAUUUCCAGCUUUCUGUGCAGCUAGUGCAAUGAGAGUUCUAAUAGUGUCUAACCUUGCUACUGGAGCAAAGGUUUCAUUGAAAUCAAUCCCUGGUUUUUGUGUGUAACCCUUGGCUACAAGUCUUGCCUUGUGUUUUUGAAUGGAGCCAUCAAGGUUUAGUUUAGUUUUAUAUAUCCACUUCACUCCCACAAUUGGUUUGCUGCCUGGUCUAUCAACCAAUUUCCAAGUGGAAUUCUUCUCUAUCAUUGAUAUCUCUUCAGUCAUAGCCUUAUUCCAAGCUUCAUCUUUGGCUGCUUCAUGGAAACUCUCUGGUUCAAUAAUGCUCAGUUUACAUUGAGCAUAGACCUCACUUAAGUUCUUCCAUUUUUGUGAAGUAUGAUCAAAAGUUUCAGAGAUUGAAACUAAUGAAUCAUGUGUAGCUGAUUCUAGAGUGGUUUGCAGAUCAUUAGCCACUUGUGGUCUCUGAGGAGAUUGACUAGACUGAAGUGAUUCAUUUGAAUAUGAAUCAAUUUCUGAUAUUCUUGAACUUUCUUCUUCAUGCCAUGGAAUAGUCACUUGUACUUCUUCAUUCAACUCCUAAUUCCACAUUGCUAUCUCAUCAAAGAUAAUGCUCCUUGAGAGUUCAAUCUUUUUAGUUUCUAGAUUAAAGACUCUAUACCCUUUCUCACAAAUCCCAUAUCUGAGAAAUACUCCCUUCAUUCCAGUUUCUUCCAGCUUGUGUCUUUUCUGAGAAGGAAUAUGGAUAUAGCACAGUGAACCAAAUAUUCUCAAGUGCUUGACACCUGGUUUUCUCCCACUGAACUUCUCGAAUGGAGUUGUAUUAUCCUAAGCACUUGUUGGACUUCUAUUUUGCAGGUAUACAGCUGUAUUGAUAGCUUCUACCCAAAAUUUCAAAAGGAUUUUCUUCUCAUGCAUCAUUGUUCUUGCCAUUUCCAUCACAGUACGAUUCUUUCUCUCUGCAACUCCAUUCUGUUGCGGAGAGUAGGCUAUAGUUAGUUGCCUUUCUAAUCCCAUCUCUUCACAAAACUUUGAAAAUUCCAAAGAUGUAUAUUCUCCACCUCUAUCACUUCUUAGCUUCUUAAUUUGAUAACCACUUUGCAACUCAACCAUGUUUUUGAACCUUUUGAAUAUGUUGAAUGCUUGAGACUUAUGCUGCAAGAAAAACACCCAACACAUUCUAGUGUGAUCAUCAAUGAAGGUGAGAAAGUAUCUAUUCCUUCCAAGAGUGAUAGACUGCAUUGGACCAUAGAUAUCUGAGUGAAUCAGUUCUAGUGGUUGUGAGGCUCUCCAAGCUAUUUCCUUAUCAAAUGAACUUCUGUGACUCUUGCCUAUAGCACAACCCGAGCAAAUCUUCUCAGAUUCUUGUAACUUAGGUAGACCCUGAACCAUGUCUUUCUCUUGUAAGAGUCUCAAACUACAGUAGUUUAGAUGCCCAAAUCUUCUGUGCCACAAGCAAGAUGGUUCUCCAAAUGUUGCUCUAUUUGCCACAGGAGGAUUGACAUAUUUGAGAUCUAAGGGAAAACAUCUGUUCCCUUUCAUUUGAACUCUUGCAAUCAGCUCUUGCAAUUGCUUAUCUUCAUAAAUGUCAACCUCAUUAUCACCAAACACCAACCAAUGCCCAUGCUCUAUCAUCUGUCCUACGCUCAACAGAUUCUCAUCCAAACCAGGUACAAUCAUGACUUCUCUAAUAAAUCUAGUAACCCCUUGCACAUCUAUAGCCAAAGUACCUUUGCCUAUUGAUUGUACUAAAUCACCAGUGCCCAUCUUAACUUUACAAUUCACAUUUCUAUCUAUAUCAAUAAGUAAGGACUCAUAAGCAGUCAUAUGAUUACUACAAGCACUGUCCACAUACCAAACAUUCAUAUUUUUUUCAAUAGAAGCUGAAUGACAAGCAUAGAACAUAGUAGCAGGUUCUGUUACCUUGCUAGCCAAGUUCGCAAGUUUCUCAGUCUUAUUUGAUUGUUCAUAGUCUUUAAUGGGAUGCCCAAAACGAUUGUACCCAUAGCACUUUGGCUUUCCUUUAAACCAGCAUUCUCCAUAGUGAAGCUUAUCACAGUGCUUGCAUUUCCCUUUUGCUUGAUCUGAUUUUUCCCCUGGUUCAUGCUUUCCUCCUUGGUUGCCACUAUUUUGAGGUUUUGAAUCCCAUUUCUUACCCUUCGAUUUCCAGCUCUUCUUUGAUUUAUUAUUACCAAAACCAGAAUUGGACUGAGAUCCCUUUUGAUUUAUGCUCAUGCUGCUGAAGGCUUUCUCAGUGGUGUUCUCAGCAUGCCUAUCAAGGCGCUGAGCAAAACCCCUCAAUGCAGCAAUCACCUCUUGCACCUCAAUCAUUUCAAUAUCCUUAGUUUGUUCAAUUACAUAACAGGCAGGAUCAAACUCCUUAGUCAGGCUUAUAAGUAGUUUUUGAACUAACCUUCCUUUGGAUAGGUCUUCCCCAUAUCCCUUCAUCUGAUUCACAAGCUCAAGUAGGCGAGUGAGGUAUCCAGACAAGGUCUCAUCAUCCCUCAUCCUUGUGUACUCAAAAUCACGACGCAAACCCUGCAAUUUGAUGGAUCUGACCUGCUUAUCACCAUGAAAUUCCUGAUGUAAAAUAUCCCAUGCACCCUUUGAGGUUUCUUCAUUCGAAAUCCUAGGGAAAAUGUCUUCUGAGACAGCCUCUUGGAUAAUCCCAAGUGCCUUAGCAUCCUUCAUUAAUAGAGCUUCCUUCUCAGAAUCCGAUGACCCAGCAUCAUCCACCUUCUUCCCCUUUGAAUCUGGAAUUUGAAGCCCAUUUUCAACUAAAUCCCAGAUUCCAUGAGAUUUGAAAAUCGUUCUCAUUCGAAUCUUCCAAAAUCAUAGUUGUCCCCAUUGAAUAUUGGAGCUCUGAGAUCACUCCCACCUGACCCAGCCAUCUAAGACAGAAUCAAUGAACUGAGUCGGAAAUUUCUCCUCGGAUUUCCAAGCUCAGCCCACACACAGCUUCAACGCCCACUAUCCAGAUCCAACCUUCACUGUUGAUACCAUGUUGAGAUUUGGAUUGUCAAAGGGAGCUAGAGAGCAAAAGACUGAGAGAGGGAGAGAGAGCCUGAGCAAGAAGGAAUCAAUAUGGUUGUGACCACUACUCCUCUGCUUAUCCGUUGCAGCAGAGCAGACUAUAUUCAUACCCAAAAUGUGUUCUUACAUCAGCAAAUACAAUCUAACCGUUGUGAAGGAUAAACCAAUGUGAAUAUGACACAUGGCUUUACAAAGCUUUACAACCGUUGAAAUAAGAGAGACAAUCCUAAGCCUUACACUUGGCAUAUGAGCUCAAGGUGCUCAGCUCACAGAUGACUUAAAUGGACUGAAUAUAAACUGACUAAGUACUUACUAACUAAUCAGAAAUUAGCUAGGCAGUUUACAUUUUAACACCCCUCAAUACCCUGCAGCACAGGUGAGAUGAUUAAUUUUUCUUUUCUAGAGAACAGGAAAGUGUUCACAAGAUAGUACUUUCCAAUAUAAACAGUUGUAGAACACUCAGAUAAGACAACAGCAUAAGUAACUGCUACAUAUCAAGGCAAUUCCCCAAUAAAUACAAGAACAUUUUACAUUUAUAGACAAAAAAGAAAGUUGGAAUAUUUUAGGAAGGGAAAUGCAGCCUUACAAAUGCUUUAAAUUGGACAGUUGACCCCAGGUAUUGGGUAUAGGACCUCUGAAAUUAUUGUUUGCAAGAUUUAGAUUCUGUAGAUGUGUCAUGUUGGCAAGAUAAAUGGGUAACAGGCCUGUUAGACUAUUAUCCUGGAAGUCCCUGCAUAAAUAAAGUUAUUUUAUCAAAAUUCAUGACUGGAUGCAAAAAAAUAUAUUCUUCAGAAUUAAACAAACAAGUACAAUAAUGAAGGCGUUGGUAUUAUAUUCCACUUUUUUCUAUGACUCAGUUGACAGUAUGUAAAGUUACAAUGAUAAAGGGAAAACUUAAAUUCUCCCUCUCUCUCUCUCUCUCUCUCUCUCUCUCUCUCUCUCUCUGUAACACCCCGACUCCAAAUUAAAUGUCUAUUUUAACCUAUUUAUAUUAAAUUACGAAUUUACCCUUGGGGUAGGGGUAAAUUGGUCACUUUCUUAAUCAGAAGGAUUUUGGGACCACGGAUAGUAUUUCUGAGUAGGUAGUACUGAGACGAAUUCGUAGACACGCGGUAGGCUUGAAUCGGAAUUGUAACGAAAAAGUUACGGGAAAAACACUAUCAGUGGCAAAACUGUAAACAUUUCAAAAAGUUUGGUAAAAAUCAGAUUUUUCACCUCAGCUCUCUCUCUCUCUCUCCUCGCGCGCGCUCGACACUCUCUUUCUCCUCAGUCUCUCUCUCUCCCCGACACCGACUCUCUCUCUCCUCGGUUCUCUCAGCUCCGGCGACGGCAGGACACGAGACCGGUCCCGAUUGAUCCACCUUGACGUCCCGAUCAACACCUGCCCGUUUUCCCCGUCGAAAACCACGAACUCAAACCGCGAGCUCGACUGUUUUGAACCGGAGCUUUCCCGCCGUCGCGCCGCCUCCUCCGCCCCCCAAACCCGGUGAGUGAGGUAUGGUUUCUCAUCCAUUUUUCGAGUCCUAGCUGACUGUUGUAUAGGUUUGGACCGAUUCAUUGUCUAGGAAAUCGAUUAGAAAAUCUAGGUUUUGGCCGGAUUUCAAAAUGAAAUUUCGGCCAGUUGCCGCCCGAAUUGGACCUUCCCGUAGUUGAAUGAAGUGAUCUUGACCUUGAGUAGAAGCUAGGGUAGGAAAGGUGAGCUCGGCUGUGGAGUUUUUUCGUUCCCGGAAUUACUCUACACACCCACGCGCUACCGGCGCUUGUGGCGGCGCGUGGGCGAGGCUGGUGCGGUUGUAAAUUAAUCCAAUGAGAUCCUCAGGUUGUCACGAGCGCAUAGGAAUUCGCGGAUCUCAAUUCGGAUGUAGUUUGGCUAUCGAACGGAUUUUCGCAUAUUGUGCGUUAUCCGGGUUCGAUAGGUUCCGACCGUUAGAUCUUUCCCGAAUUAAAAUAUGUUGUUCUAGGUAUUUCUAGGACCAUAUGGGACUUUACGAAUUAUGAAUCGGAGCCCCGGAUGUUCCGAUUCAAUAAUGCAAAGUUUGCGGGUUAGCGAUAACUGUAAAAUCGCGAACGAUUCCUAAACCUGUAAUCGGACCUUAGGAUACCUUCUUCAACGUGCACGUAUGGGGAAUUUGGGAUUUAAGCAUUCAAUUUGUGAUUUCCGCUUCGACGUAAUUUUAUAUUAAGUAACGGUUCGUAUCUCGAAAUAGGUGUUUCGACUACACGUACUCAGCAGGCAGGACCCUCACGUGGUCAGGCAGCGUGGGAAUACUUGUGAGUGGACUUUGUUUUCAAUCAUAUGCAUGGUUUUAAUUGAUGAAAGAUUUUUGCAUAAUGUUUUAAUGGCUUAUUGAAUAUAUAUUAUAUUCAUGAGUUGAUUAUGUUGGUUGUAUAGCGCUUGGCAAUAUAUUGUGAGUUUGGCAUUGUGGGUUUUGAGAGUGCAUUUUAUAUGGUUGUGGGGAAGUAUAUUUAUAUAUUAUCUAUAGACGAAAUACUUGGGUUGUUGAAGGGUGUUGUGGAAGAAUUUGAUUUUUGAGAGAAGUUGUAUGAUUACACUAUGUAAGUACCUUCCCCAGUUAUCAGUAUCACUCGCGGCGUUGGAUGUUCCGGCAUGUGAGACACUUUCCAUAUGCGGCGUUGGAUAUUCCGGCGUAUGGAAAGACUUUGUGUAGUGUUUUGGGUCAUCACCAUGGCGUUGGAUGUUCCGGUGUGUGAUGAUCCAGUCUGCGCGCGUAAGACAUAGUUUGGGAGCUACACAUGGCGUUAGAUGUUCCGGUGUGGGAGCUUUGGAGUUUCGUCCCCUAGUUGGACCGCUCAUCCCUAGACGUAGGAUAGCACCUGGAAAUCCUGCGGACUAGUCAAACGAUCCCCCAGUUGGAUUGUUUCCCCGGUACCUAGGUGAUGUGAUGAGUAUAUCGUAUAGCUAUUUAUAGUUAUAUAUAUAUGUAUAUUUUUAUGUAUACGUAUAGUUGAGUGAGUGAAGAAUUAGAGUUUUUCGGUGGUUUGACAGGAGUUGUAAGAUUGAGAGAAUGGGAUUCUUUUUGAAGGAGAUAACUGGUGUUUUAGAAGAGUUUUAAUGAAUGUUGUUUUGAGUAAUUAUUUAUUGAAUUGUGAACCUGCAUGACUUGAGCAUUAUUUUUACAUGGUGGGGUUACUAUAUAUUUUUUAACUGCAAAUCUGGUUUUUGUCCACUCACAUAUUUUCUGUUUUGCGCCCCCAGCUAGUAGUCGCUCCAGGAAGCGUGCAAGUGGUGUACGAGGCUCGAACUGUGAAUCUUUCUAGUUAGGAACUGAGUAAUUUCUUCUACUCAACUGUUCUUAUAAUUUAAAUUCAGUAGAUGCUCUGUAUUGCCCAUGGUAGAUUUUACUUGUGAGGCCGGAGGCCACUCUAGUAUGACUUGUAGAAUUAAGAAAGCAUGCUGCUGGUUGGGAUUUUUAUUUUAUGUAUGUUGCAGGUUGAAUAGUUUUUGUUGGGAUUGCUUAAUUACAGGGGAGACUCUGCCAAAUUUUUAGUAGAAAGUCUCGGUUUCUUAGUAAGUGGGCCCGGCAUCGGAAAGAUGUCAGAAUAAAGACGGGGUCCACUUCGGUUUUCGGAAAAUUCCGGGGCGGGUCCUGUCACUCUCUCUCUCUCUUGGUACCAGAGCACAGACUAGUGAUCCAAAUCAGGUUUCAGCCAAUGGAUUAUGUUACAUUUUCUGACACCAUCAGCCACAGAAUACUAAUGCAUCAAGAAGUUGACUUACAGGCUAGCCAAACAUUUCAGUUUAGUAAUCGAAGGAGAAAGCGUUCCAGAAAAUCCAUUUGAUGCCAGGCUCCUGCAAAGUAGUACAUUCACAAACUAAAUGUACUGCAAUGAUAAAUGAUUUUCAAAGAUGGCGAUAUUAAUAAAAUAUAUAUUUUUCAUGAUCAUAAAAUUUAGUUUAACUUACAGGGAUAUGACAUUUCCAUUUCUACAAGUGACAUGAGACCAGCUAAAAUAGGGGCUAACGAGAUUAUUAUUCCAAUCUGUUAUUCGGCCACUGGAAUCAUUCAGUGCCCUAAGCAAAUCGAUCAAUGCUUCACCUGCACAUUAUCGUAAGUGAAGAACAAAAUUGUAUGUAGAACCAUAAAUGGCUGGUGAAAAGAACUUUUGUUUAUAUUACAAUUCUGAUAAAUGAAAAAUGAAAAAUUCUUGGACUUAGGUAAGGCAGAACACACAAACCAUGUGAGCACGGCAGUAGAUAAGGUAGAACACAUAAAGCCUGUGAGUACGACAGUAAAUAAGGCAGAAGCAAAGACAAGGGGCAAGGCCACAGCAACAACAACGACAAUGACCACAUCAAUGGAAAGCAAAGCAAGCAAAGACAACAUCAACGGCGGCAACAUCGACCACAACAGAAACACACCAGCAAAGGCAUGAGCAACAAUACUGGCACCAUAACAUGCAUGAGCAACAAUACUGGUACCGAACAACAGCAAUAUAAGGCACUGGCACCAGCAAGAGCAUUAAGGCCGGGACAUAAUAGGCAUCAUCAACAGUAAUCAACAUUGUCCCCAACAAGAGUCAUAAUAGGCAGGAGCAAUAAUAUUGUCCCCAACAAGAGACAUAACAGGGAUGAGCAACGGUACUGGCACCAGCAAAGGACAUAGUAGUUAGCAGCAAUAACAAUGACAAAUACUUCCAUUAUCGCACAAACAACUUAUCUUCACUCCCCCUCUUCCCCUGAAGAGAACGGGUCAUCAGAACCAUAAGAGAAGUGGCACUUAAGAAACAGAAGCUGACUUACGCUCAAAUGUAGAAGAAUCAGUCAUGGCAGAUAGGUAGCUAAAUUGCAGUGGAAUAGAUAAGCAGCGAUGUCACUCCCCCUCAAAUCCGACGAUGUAUGAGAGUCGAGAUUUGGAGAAAGCAACACCGAAAAAUAAAGUUGCAGCACCCAAAUAAAGUUGCAUCUAUUUCCCCAUCAAAUCUGACACUGGUAAAAGGUCGAGAUUUGGAAGAUGAUAAAUUGAAAUAAUAGUAAAGAGACUCAAACAUGCCAGUCUCGUGGCAGAAACAAAUGCAAGAGGGGAAGGUGGUAGCAUAAAGCUGUCCCAUGUAGAAAAAACUUUAGAAAAAGAGAAUAGUAAGGGAGGAAACCCAACAAAUCAUGAACAGAGACAAAGACAAAGAUAAGGUGCUCAAACAGGAAUUAGAGCAAAGGACACCGAAAAAAGGAAACCUUUCAUGUGUG
rnacentral:lncRNA from 1 species